CUUUGGUAAACUUGUAACCUCCCACCUGAGGUGCCACCACCAAAGCUAGUUAACCCGGAUUGUCAAUCCGGGGCGGAUGAUCCUCUCUGCUCCACACAAUGGGCUGCUCGAACCACCGUAAAUAACGUGGCACUGCCGGUUCAACAGCAUUAACUGCCCUUUUGUGAAGCUUCUGAUAUCGCUUACACAGGCUAGUAGUGAACACAUGAUACUGCCCACCAUUCAACUGCUUAGGGUGACUUUGAUAACCUGAUUGUUGCUGAUUCCCUUCACUAUUCUGUUGGCCAUUGCCACUUUGGUUAUGUUGGUUGCCCUGAUUAUUCUGGAAUCCAGAGCUUGAACCGCCGCCACCAUGAAAACCUGGACCUGAACCGCCCGACGGACCCUGAUCAUACCGGAAAACAUCGGAAUUCUUGAACUCCUUCAUGAUAUAACAAUCUUUCCACAGAUGUGUAGAAGGGGCCUCCUUGGUUCCAUGCUUUGGGCAGGGCUAGUUCAUCAAACGUUCCAGAUUCAUCCCUCCACCACGCUGGGGCAGUUUACCUUUACGAUGUUGCAUAUUAGUGUUAGCCACAAGAUCUGAAUUAUCUGCCUUGCGCUUACCAUUAUUCCCAUGGCCUCCUUGGUUGUGAUGUUGGCACUUUGCACCAUCGUUCUUCUUUCCCUUCUCCGGCUUCACCUCAUCAGAAUCGGGAUCCUUGGUAUUAUCAGAAUCGACAUACUUGACCAAGGCUGCCAUGAGGGUUCCCAUGUCAUUGCAGUGGCGCUUGAGCCGUCCCAACUUCAUCUUCAGUGACUUAAACCGGCAAUUACGCUCCAGCGUUAUGGUCGCUUGACCAGCGUUAAUCCGGUCGGACGAAUGCAAAACUUCUGAAACCCGGCGUACCCAAUGAGUUGUUGACUCAUUCUCCCCUUGAACACAAGCAUCCAGAUCCACAAUGGACAUGGGCUGUUUGCACGUGUCUUUGAAAUUGGCUAUAAACCGGGCCUUCAACUAAUCCCAUGACUCGAUGGAGUUAGCUGGUAAAUUUUUCAACCAAGUACGGGAUGUCCCUUCCAACAUCAUCGUGAAGUACUUUGCACAUGCCGCUUCAUCCACAUCUAGCAUCUCCAUUGCCAUCUCAUAACUCUCAACCCAUGCCUCAGGUGGCUGAUCCGCAGUGUAAUUAGGCACUUUACAUGGACCCUUGAAAUCCUUGGGUAGACGCACAUUAUGGAGAGCCGGAAUAAGACACGGCACUCCCCAGGAACUGAAGGCAAGCCCGGUGCCUCGGUCUACUGACGCCGCUGGCUGAACCGGGGCGGGUUGAUGAUGACCCAAAGCGGCCUCCCUUCAUGCUCUGCCAUUAUCCACCGCGCCUUGAGCAUUACAACGCCGAGCACUGCUAGACACUUCCGGUUCAUCCAUGUGCCUGCUAUAGCUUGGGCUCGGACGGGGGGUUGAAUGAAUUCUAUCCCGGCUAUAGGAAUAAGCCUGCUGUUGCACCACGGCGGUUUGAAGAAGGUCCCUAGCCCGCCGCGUUUCAAUUGCUGCCAGUGAAUCGCCUUCCAUCGGAAUGGCCACCAGGCGCGAUGCUGCGGCAAUCAUGUUAUCCAGAGGACUCGAGAAGUGACCCGGCGGUGUGGACACGUAUUGCAGCGGGUUAUCUGUUCGUCGGGGUGGUUCCGUUAUCCGUAGUUGAUCCGGAGCUGUCCUAGGCGCAUCAGUCCUGUUUGCAGCUGCCGGAUUGCUCGGCCCGGCGCCUGGUGUUUGAAAGAGGUUCAGUCCUUCAUAGACCGACGGCAGACGAGACCGGUACUUCCUUCGCAUUACAUCCUCCGAUGCAGUCCGAUCCAGCAUGAGCCAAUAAUUUUGCGCAUGUAUCUGCUGUGACUAGGCAUCCAAAGCGGCCCGUUCUUUAGCCAUUCUAGCAUCCUCAAUUGCCAAGUCCUCCUUAGCCUGUGUUAUCUGGUCCUUCAGCUUCGCAAUGUCCGCAUUGUGCUGAUCCGGCGUCUCCGGGGUGACUGCCGCGGUUAACAAGGUCGCCCAGGCAUCCAUCAAACUGGAGAGGACUUGAGCCGGUCGGCGCGCCGGGGCUCCUGCCAUGGCUGCUGAUCCGGUAUUCAUUACUGCUGUAGAUGAAGACUGCAAAGUGGGCUGUGUUCCGGCCAUGUAAACAGCAACCCGACUAGGCGGUCCAAGGAGGUCCGGAAUACUGUUGCCAUCGGAAUAUCCUUUGAACACACCAUUAUGAAUCUGGUACAAGGACGCGGUUUCGCCAGUGGAUGACUCGCCGUCGGAAUAAAUAGCCGUCUCGCCUUCAGACACCGGUUCAGAUCCGAUCCCAUGGACACAUCCUACAAACGCACGCUUCAUGGCGGGCUUAAGCCGGGCUAGACUCGCACGCUGAGCCGUUUCGACGAGGUCGGUGCAGAAGUCCGGCUCAGGGCCUGGUUCGCCGAUCUUGCCGAUGAAGACAUGAAUUCCGCCAAAGGGGACCCAGUACCGGUACUCGAUUGAGCCGGCCUUGGGGCCCCAUCCUUCAUCGUCGAUGUAGAGCUUGCCGCGAUGACUCUUGGUCAUCCGGCCAACCACGUACCCCUUGAGUCCUUCAAAGCUGCCCUUCAAGAACUCGAAACCACCGUGCAAUAGCCCCACGGUGGGCGAAAACUGUCAUGGAAUUAACACAUCAGAUGUCCUCAUGAAAGGACUUAGUCAUGGAGCCAUCUCAACGGGUUAGCUUGAAGGGGUUAAACCGGAAAAGGGACACGGUUGUUUAUACUAGUUUGGCCCCUUCAAUGAAGGUAAAAGCCUACGUCUAGUUGUGAUGGGAUUGAUUGGGUUUCAAUGACCAGGGAGCAAAUAUGCUUGCCUGAGUCUCGAGUUGUAGUUUCUUGUCCCUGAACCGCCGGGUCGUCCCUUUAUAUACAUAGGUUGACGCCUGGCCGGUCUACAGAGCCCCGAGGCCGACUCAUACAAAGUGUCCGGCUCGGUCUCUUCUUUCCUAACUUACAUUACAAGUUACAUAGUCAUGGCGGUUUACCACUAUGGGCCCUAAUCCGCCUUUGGGCUCCGGGCCUCUAAGCUUCAUUAGUAAAGCGCCAUCUUCUGGAUCUUCAUGGGCUUCAGCAUAGUCGAGGGUGAACCGGGCCCUCCUAGCCGGUUUACACUCAGUAGUUAUAUCCCAACAAGAAGCGUAGCCGGGCUUAGGCUGUGACGCUCUGGAGUGGGGGAUGGGGAUGGGGAUCUGGGGGAAAGGGGGCGUUUGGUAGGCAUCAUCUAAGAAACUCAGGGCGGCCUUGGUAUGGAGAUCGGUGGGUAAGCUGCACGAGCAAACCGGCAGAUGUUGACAAUGAAGGUCUCACGGCGGCGGUGGCGGGGACCUUGCUAGGAUUUCGAGCGAGGGAGGUGUGUGUGUGUGUGUGCGCGUGCCCGAGGAGGUUUUGGUGUGUGUGUGUGUGUGUGUGGAGGGGGAGGGGUGUGUUUGAGGAAAUGAUGCGGGUACUGAAAAUUUUACAAUGCGGGAGUCAAACGCGGGAGUGAAAUGCCGGGGCUAAUGAAAAUUUUGAUGAUGGUGAAUCCCACACGGUACAGAGAUAACAACCAUGUGUUAUGAAAUAGAAAAACCCUCUAGGCGGGCAGAUAUUUUCUAGGGGCGGGCGGGAUUGGGAACAAGAAACAUCGCACACGGUUCGGAGAUAACAACCGUGUGUUAUGAUACACAAAAACCCUCCUCAAGGCGAACGGAUACUUUCUAGGGAUGCAGUGGGAUUGGGAAGAAGAAACAUCGCACAUGGUCCGGAGAUAACAAUCGUGUGUUAUGAAACAGAAAAACCCUUGAGGCGGUGAGGGAGUCCUGGACUAGGGGGUGUCCGGAUAGCCGAACUAUCAUCGUGGGCCGGACUCCAAGACUAUGAAGAUACAAGAUUGAAGACUUUGUCCCGUGUCCGGAUGGGACUUUCCUUGGCGUGGAAGGCAAGCUUGGAAAUACGGAUAUGUAGAUCUCCUGCCAUUGUAACCGACUCUGUGUAACCCUAGCCCUCUCCGGUGUCUAUAUAAACCGGAGGGUUUUAGUCCGUAGGACAACAACAAUUACAACAAUCAUACCAUAGGCUAGCUUCUAGGGUUUAGCCUCCUUGAUCUCGUGGUAGAUCCACUCUUGUACUACCCAUAUCAUCAAUAUCAAUCAAGCAGGAGUAGGGUUUUACCUCCAUCGAGAGGGCCCGAACCUGGGUAAAAACAUCGUGUCCCUUGUCUCCUAUUACCAUCCGCCUAGACGCACAGUUCAGGACCCCCUACCCGAGAUCCGCCGGUUUUGACACCGACAUUGGUGCUUUCAUUGAGAGUUCCUCUGUGCCGUCACAAUCAGGAAGGAUGCCUCUUCCCGUCUUUAAAGACGGUACCAUUGCCAAAGGAGCUUUGGCCACCGGCCAAACUGUCCGGCUAGGUGGUUUUCUUAUGACCGCCUGUUCGGCCGCCGCUCCAACGAUGACCUCUCAAGUCAUCAAAAGCGAUCUUCACGUCAACUCGGAAUUCGCCGAGCAGCUAGAUCCGAUGGAGCUCCCCUCCGUAAACGAACUCUUGGAUCGCUUCGCCGCCCUGGGAGUCGCUACAGACUACGAUUAGAUUGGGCUUAAAACCGAUCUGAGAGAGAUCAACUCUCCCCAGGCUACCCACCACGUUGCUAUGGUGGAGGAACAACACGGCGACUCUUCUCCUAUAUUAAAGACCAGUUAUGUCCGGAUUCCAGAUCCCUCCAUGUCGGAUUCCGCGCGGAGGGACGGAUGCCAAUCAAGCACUGAACCUAAAGUAAGGCAGCGGACCAGAUUCGUUGGACGACAUCCAGCAAUCCAAGCUUCCAAAUUCGGAAACUUCUCGUCCCUUGAGCCUCAAGUUGGGCAGGGUUCCGGACUUAAUUCCACCUGCCCACCCAAACAUAAGCGAUCUAUCCCAAAUCCGGCAAGAGCCCGCUGAAACAGUACAUCAUUACUGGGCCAGAUUCCUCCUGGUUAUGGACAGGAUAAAGGACUGCCAUGAGGAAAACGCAAUCUCAAUUUUCUGCAACAAUUGCACGGACAAGGGAAUCUUGAACGCCGUAAGUCGUCGCGAAAUUACACACUUCGCCGACCUGGCGUCCAUAGUACGGAAGUACUGUGUGAUGGCGAGCGUCUGGAAAACCGAAACUAAGUUUUGGGACAAUCCGGCUCCGAACACAACCCUAGUCCGAAACAAAAGGGUGCAUCAUGCUCAGGCACCCGGGAUAAAAACCAAAAAGCAAAAACCCCAUAAAGGGCACGGAACCGUACUGGAGGGAUGGCUCAGCGGAUCCUGUAAAAUCCAUAGUACAAAGGGCGCCACUCCAACACAUAGCCUUCGAGCAUGUUGGAUACUGCGGCAGGUGGCCAAAAGUGGCGAAGAGCUUCUAGUUCCAGAGAACCACCCCAACAGUACCAGUACGGUACUAACAGUCUUCGAGACUUUCGCAUCAAAUAAUAUGCGAAAAUGAACAAUCCGCAGCCUCGCCGAAGUCUACCAAGUAGCAACAACAAAUCCAUGGAGCGACACGGCUAUCACCUUCAACGCCAGCGACGAACCUAAAUUCCGAACAGCCCGAGCACCAGCCGCAUUGGUCCUCAGUCCAAUAGUGGACGGCUUUCGUCUUACCAAGGUACUCAUGGAUGGCGGCAGCGGAUUAAACCUAAUCUACGAGGAAACUCUUUGAGAAAUGGAAAUAGACUGGAGCCUCAUUGAGCGAAGCAGCACAACCUUUAGAGGAAUAAUCCCUAGUCGGGAAGCACGCUGCACGGGAAAAAUUACAUUAGAUGUGGUGUUCGGCUCGCCGGACAACUACAGGUCCGAGGAGGUCACAUUCCAAGUGGCCCCGUUCAGCAGCGGAUAUCACGCUCUAUUAGGGCGAGAGGCAUUCACAAUUUUCCAAGCCAUACCCCAUUAUGGGUACAUGAAGCUUAAAAUGCCCGGCCCCAAUGGAAUCAUCACUCUUGUCAGUGAUCCGGACAUAGCACUCCGCGCCGAAAACAAGACAGCCACACUAGCCCUAGAGGCACUAUCCGAAGCCCUAGUGGCAGAGGAACUCACUGCGCUGCGCUCCACGGUGAACAAGGACGAUGUGAUACUCGAUAAGAGAUCCAAGUCCACCUCUUUUAAACCAGCGGAUGAAAUAGUCAAGUUCCAAGUCCAUCCAACGGACCCCACAAAGACGGCCUCCAUUGGGGCACAACUAAACCCCGAUGUAGACGCCGCACUACGAGAAUUCCUUCGGGAAAAUUGGGACAUUUUUGCCUGGCACCCUUCAGAUAUGCCAGGAAUCCCACGCAGGCUGGCAGAACACAGCCUAAACAUCCUAAAAGGAUUCAAGCCAGUCAAACAGGCUCUUCGGCGAUUUUCCGAACCAAAAAGACAGGCAACGGGAGAGGAGCUAGCCAAACUAUUGGAAGCCGGAUUCAUCAGAGAUAUAAAACAUCCGGACUGGCUAGCAAACCUAGUAAUGGUACCCAAAAAGGACAAAUCCUGGCGCCUAUGUGUCGAUUUUAAAGACCUUAACAAGGCUUGCCCAAAGGAUCCUUUCCCCCUCCCCCGCAUCGAUCAAAUCAUUGAUGCUACCGCAGGACACGAGUCAUUGUGCUUCCUCGACGCAUACAACGGAUACCAUCAAAUCAAGAUGGCGGAGACAGACCAAGCCGCAACGGCAUUCAUUACUCUGUAUGGACCAUUCUGCUUCAACACAAUGCCCUUCGGGCUCAAGAACGCCGGCGCAACAUAUCAGCGCAUGAUUCAGACAUGUGAUAUUGUUUUUGCUCCAGUUUUCUAACCGUUCGUCGAAACAAGACAUAUGAUACGCUGUUGGAAAGCUACGGACAAGGCGCAACUUUCAUAUGUUGAAAUGGUUUUGAGAUUCCUUACAAUUUUUAGUUAAUUUUGAAAAUCGUGCGGCUGACUUCGAGAGGCAGUGGCUGUUUUUUGCAAAAAAUUUACGAACGGCUGGUCGGAAUAAUUCAAAUCAUACGCCGUUGAAAAGAUAUCGACGAGACGCAACUUUUUCAUGUAGAACACUCUCUCUAAUUCAUUACGGUUUAAGAGCAGUUUCGAUUUUACCGGAAAGCGGACACUCUGUUUUUCGUGACACCCAAAUCGUCGUAUGCACUGCAUGAGACAGAUAGUGCACUGCUUCAGACUGAAAACUGCACUGCAUCUGAUAGACUGAAAAUUGUCAUGCGUACGCGACGAACGAAGUGCACUGCUUCAGACCGAAACCGCACUGCAUCAAAACGGAGUGAAAAUCAUCGUGUGUACGCGACAACGAAGUGCGUUGCAUUAGAUAGAUCAGUGCACUGCUUCAAACCGAAACCGCACUGCAUCAAACAGACUGAAAAUCAUUGUGUGUACGCAACAACUAAGUGCACUGCAACUCCCAAUGCAAUUUUACUUUCGUGUGCACUGCAAUAAGCACAAUUUUUUUAAAUGCAUUUUUGUUUGAAAUGAACUGUACUGAAGAGUCCUUCGUAGUGGACUUCUUUUUUUACCCAAGUGCCAUUUCCUUCAUGUUUUUUACAGCACUACAACAACAGAGUGAAUUGUAUGAAAAAAUUCAAUGUUUUUGCUGUUUUUUUGGCAACAAGGGGACUACAUUUUUCUCAUGUUCCAAAUCUGCACACAACUCGAAUCUAGGUUCCGUUGUCGAGAGUAAGGAACUACCUGGUUUCUCUUUCCCCAUUUUUACAUACUGAAUCAAAGUGAUAGACUGCACGACCACGAUUAUAGAACUUCAAAAGUAUCUUAAGUGGUCGGACAGGAGCCCCGUCGACUGGUCGGGACGAGCAAAAGUGGGCUGCAAAAUAGACUAGCAAAAGUGGGCUGCAAAAAAUAGAGCCAAACUACACGAAGAGGUGCAUUGCACUACAUCAACAACAACCAAAAUUCUGGAAUGGUUGCUAUGCCUAUCGUUGAUGCGUACUGCACGACACCCGCCGCUGAUUCACGGGCGCCCAACAAUAGUGCAAUCGCGGGCAUGUGGGAGGAGGCCGGCAGACUGCACCGCCUAUCUUUUUCUGCAAAAAAGAGAGUAAAAUGAACCUCAAGCGCAGAAGAAUAGUGGACUGCAUUUGCACAUUUAUUUAUCUUCAGAAGAACAGAGAAAACGCACGGAUGAGGGGCAACUGCUCUGCAAUGCGUGAAACAGCAUUGCACGCGCCGGUGCACUGCAAGGCCGGGGCGGUUGGGCUGCAAAUGGAGGAGGGGCAGCUCGUCGGGGGCUAGAAAAUGAGAGUCAUCGCCUCCUCCCCACCUCGGAGGAGAUGCAGUGCACUUGUAUCCAUCGAACAACACACGCACGAGCAAGGAACUUCAUUGCGUUUGCCCACUUGUCCGAGCUGCACGGCGGUGGUCAUCGGACUUCAUGGUUGUAGGAGAUGAGGGGGCCGGCGAGCUCAAAGGGAGAGGAGGUCGCAUGCUGCAACGGUUGGCAGGGGGUCAGGGGAUCCUCUCCUUCGCGUCUCUGGCAUGUUGGAGGAGCAAGGCGUGGCGGUUCCAGCACGCCCCAACGCCGGAGGUGCUCGCACGUAGAUGGCCAGUGUGGCUUCGGUGGCGGCGCCGGAUCCGGUGCUAUUGGCCGUGCCCAGGCCGGUGGCCACCGGAUCCGGUGCUAUUGGCCGUGCCCAGGCUGGUGGCCGCCGGAUCUGGUGGUGAUGGUCGCGUUCGGGGCUUGUGGCGGCCGGCUCGCUGUGGGAUCGACCGAUGGCUCAAGGAGGUGGUCGCCGUUGCGCGGGGGCUGGGCGCUGCAGGGGAGGCCGUCGUGGCUUUGAGGAGGAAGGCGAGGGGGCUAGGAGGAAGGUAGGGGCUCUUGUGGAGGAGGCGAGGCCGGAUCCAGGCGGUCGCGGCUCCGGUUCUUGGCCGCUGGAGGUAGUUAGUUGGGCGGCGAGCCAUGGCCCUGUGCAGUGCUGGUAGCUGGUGGUGCGGGGGGAGGUGGGGGAUGGGGCGUCUCCANNNNNNNNNNNNNNNNNNNNNNNNNNNNNNNNNNNNNNNNNNNNNNNNNNNNNNNNNNNNNNNNNNNNNNNNNNNNNNNNNNNNNNNNNNNNNNNNNNNNNNNNNNNNNNNNNNNNNNNNNNNNNNNNNNNNNNNNNNNNNNNNNNNNNNNNNNNNNNNNNNNNNNNNNNNNNNNNNNNNNNNNNNNNNNNNNNNNNNNNNNNNNNNNNNNNNNNNNNNNNNNNNNNNNNNNNNNNNNNNNNNNNNNNNNNNNNNNNNNNNNNCGGCUCGUGCUGGAAGGUGUCCCAGGGGCGCGAGGACCAGCGUGGGUCGCCGGCGGGGGGAGGAAGGCUGCGACGGGGAUGUGGCAGUUCGGCGUGGGAAGGGCAGGAUGAGUGGAAGGUGGAGGGAGGUGGUGCGGGUUGGGGUUGGGUGGUGGGGGUGUUCGGGUGGUUGGGUGGUCACAUGAGGAAGAAGGUGGGAGGUGGGGGUCGCGCCUCGGUUUGUUUUUGACACGGUGUUAGCAGAAUAAGCGAUUGAUGUGCAGAAUAAGCUCUUAAAGGGUGUUAUCAUAAUAGACCCACCCUAUAUAUAUACAUAUAUAUAUAUACACCGUAUUAACAAGCAAAAUAAUAACCCCCUCCUAAGUCAAAUUAACCACUCUUGUUGCCAGGCGAAAAGUAGUGAUGGACGCCCACAAAUGGAAAGCAUCGAUAUCGCUGAUAACCACUUAAGUGGGUGUGAGAGGACAACCACCAUCGCUUUGCAAGUGGACCAAACAUAUGUUGAAUAUAAUACAUAAAAUGCACAACUUUGUUGUGCCACACAUGCCUCAAAAACCGUAAAUCAUGCACCCACACAGAGCGAGGUUCAUGAAGCGUACUACAUAUGAUGGUCCCCUUGCCCCUCUUCGACGCAUAAUAUAUGCUCCUACCGUAAUACAACCCAAAAAGAAUCCUCAUCGAUGGUGAAAAUAAUUAACCUCUCCCGAUGUAGGUCAAAGUGAUGCACAUGCAUCGAUGAUGGCCUCGUGGGCCCACAGAUGGAAGCGUCACAAGUGAGUGUCCUAGCUAGGAUAACCACUACAUGCAUGCAUGUGGCGCAAAGAGGUGUUGUGUGAUGUUUGAAUAGCCAUUUUCACAAUUUUGAUGUGGCACGUGCCUCGGAAACCGAAAAGUCCCGGCACUGAGUGAGGUGUACUUGUUCACGGACGCGCACGUAUAGUACAUAUAUAUGCUAGUCCCCUCCCACCUCUUCGACGCGUACUAUAUACCACCAUAACACAAACAAAAAAGAUUCUACCUUGCUGGUCAAAUUAACCUCACUACCGGCUGUUCGUCAAAGUGAUGGAUGACGACCUCACGGGCCCACAGAAAGCGUCAUACGCGAGUAUCGAGUGUCGUGUAGGACAACCAUCGACUGCAUGUGGCCAAAACAUGUAUGUAUGAAAGGGUUGUGUAAUGUUUUAAAUUACGAAUUCAUGACUCUGAUGUGGCACCGGCCUGCCUAACAAAACGGUCAACCCACACGGUGGCUCGCAACUUGUAGUGUACUGCGAGCCAUUCGCCACCCCCAGACGCACACACCCACACACACACACCGCGAAUCCACCGCAACUAUGAUGCAUGUUAAAUUAAUUAUCCCGCGAUGAACAUAUAUAUGUUACCAAAGGAGGGACGUUUUAAUUUUGAAAAAAAAUCAAAGAUCAUAAAGACGUUUUAGUACAUUAAUUGAUUGAUUUUCUAUGGGUAUAAUGUGCAAAAAUCAAAUUCAAGCUACAUGCACACGUGACAGUGCACCUAAAUGGAUAGCAAAAACACAUGUGUCUCACUGGGUGCAUGUUUACUCCUCAUGCAACAAAUUUCAAACAAUGAGAAUCUUGAUUUUUAAAUUCUAGUACAUCCAAAACUUAUUUGAAGUUCGUGAAACUUAUCGUGUUGUCAUAUGGACACCAAUACAAAGUUGCAUUGUACUUUUUGGGGUCAAAUUUUAGACCAGUUUUGAUGUAAUCUUUAUCUAAUUACAAACGGGAGAUUAUUAAUAAUUGGGAACCAAUAUCCCAAACGGAGUAUUUAUUCGAACCAUGAGUGUUAGACCAACAAUGGAUACGUGUCAUGCUUCGGUUAAGCAAAAAAUAAAGCGACAUCAUUAAUCAUCUAAAUAGAAAAACAAUAUACGUGCCGCCACGCGACCCGUGUACCGUGCGAGCAGGCGUGAGUUGACGGGACGCGUGCGAGCAAUCCGCCGUGUAGGCAGACUGGGAGGCGUGCAUGCAGGUGUGUGAAUUGACGGAGGCGUGAUCGCUGCACAGUGUCAUCGGGAGGCGUGUGAGUAGCUGUGUGAAACGACGGUAGGCAUGCCAGCAGUCCGGUGCGCAGGCUCACCGGGAGGCGAGCCAGUGGUUUGACCGCCGCCCGCCUCUCUCCCACUACUCCCACUACUCCAUAUUAAUGGUGCGCCCGAGCGGCUAGACCCCCAUCCUCGCCACACACACAAUCCCCUCUCACCGCUUGCGUUCUCGACGCCGCUCUCGGUCAUCAAAGCCGUCAGUGUAUGAGGAUGCGGACGAAGCGCCCCAUCGGAGGGAGUGGCGACGCCGGGGCUGCUAAAGCACCAGAGCACGGUGUGGAGAUGGAGGCAGAGGUUGCCGUCACCGCUGGCGAGUUAUCGCUGCAACCUGACGUCAUCGACGCCAUCGAGCUUCCACAGCCGAAGGCGGAGUUCCACACCGACUCUAGUGACGACUCGGGCGACGACUCCGACGACCACUCCGGCGACAACUCCCACGACAACGGACAACUGGUUAGUCAUCUAUACCCAUUUAUGUGUCAAAUAGAUCCCAGGGUUUCUCUGGUUACUCCUGCCUCCCCCCUUUUUGGAAUAGAAAUCCUAUGGUUAUGUUCUCUCAAUCCAUGAAAUCUGAGUAAGUUUCGUUAGAUCCGUGUAGUGUAUUGAUUGUUUGAAUGGUACAAGUGAUAAGUGAUUAGUUGUUUCAUCUGUGGAAAUGAUUUCUGCUAGUAAUCCGCCUAGGGUUAGUGUUCGUGCUAAUAAUUUCUAGCCGGGACUUGACAAUUGAUUUUGAAUGACCUACAUAUGUUUGUGCCAUUAUUUUCUUCAAGAUUGGUCUGUACAUAGACGAAUGUGCUUAAAAUCAAACCAUAAUCUCUGGAUAUGUAUAAAUAAAUAGCCAUAAAUUCCUAAUCCUACUUCAUAGCAUGUUAUUGUUGAUUUGAUGCCAAUUUUUGGCAACUGCCAAAUGUUCGCUAGAGAUUUGUUUGUAACCAUUAAUUUGACGCCACAUUUUUUUACUAUUUAUAUAGGUGCUGUCUGAAGAUGUGGACAGCGAGGAUGAAGAUGUCCAGAGGAGGUACAACAGGCAAAUCCUGAGGCAGCUUUAUGCGGGAAUGCAUAACAGGCGUAUUAGGACCUGGAACGGCGGCUAUCGAUGCCCAUUCUGCAACCACAAGCUUCAUGACGCGUAUCAAAGUGUUCUGGCGCAUGCAAGAGGACAGGCCAUUGGCUCCUUCAAGCAGAAGUAUGCUCACAAGGUGGAGCACGGCGCGUACGUCGGGUACCUCGAGAAGCUUCGGGAUCGUGCCGGCUUGUGAGAUGAGAUGUGGGAUCGAACUAUGUACGCUUGAGCAUGCUUAAUGACGGUUGAACGAUGCUUGUGUACGUGUACACUUAUUAUCUAUGUCUGAGUAUGUUUAAUCUAUGUUUACUUAUGUCUAACUGUGGGAUAUGGAUGCAAUCAGUUUGUCGGGGAAACUGAUCCACGAACACCUAUGGGACCGGCGGACCGAGCCCCUUUCGGUUCGGCGGGGGGCGGAGAUCGCACGAAGAGCGGAUCGAGGCGAAGCACACGAGCAGUUUACCCAGCUUCGGAGCUCUCGAGAGAGAUAAUACUCCUGCUGCUGCAUGUCUAGGUGUAUUGAGUUCUUGCCCGGGAGCGCUGAGUGCUAUAGUACACACUAGCUGCUAACGAGACCGAGCAUGAGUGUUUUCUGCCUUCGAACCCCCCUCUACGUUGCGCAUGGGCCUCCUUUUAUAUGCUCAAGGGGUCACCGACAGGUGGCAACACAGACAAGGGUAAAAUGGAAAGGUAUUGCGGUUGGUACAACUACCUGUACAUUGUAUCAUACCUAACCCUGACGGCAGGGGACAAAGGCAUUAAAUGCCCGUCUGCGUCGCCCAAAUAGUGCAAAAAAGGGACCGUCAGGGACGCCACCGCUUGCCACGAUGGCAAUCUUGUCAGCGCCGCUUGCCACCGUGCACCGCUGGCUGCACAGCCUCUUGCCACGCGCGCCUGGAAAGGUCCUAGGGCGACACGUUGGUGGAUGUGCUGGAGUGCAGGUAUAGAGUGGUAGCUUGCCGCGGCAAGCGCCUUGUCGCGGUCGUUGUCUUGUCGCGUCCGGAAGCUUGUCGCUCACCGGGCCUCGCCGGUACGCGUGGCACGUCGCGGCAAGUUCCUUGAGAUGCCUUGGUUGGCCUUCCCGGCAAGCUCCUCUUGCCGGGGCCUUGUCUCCUUGGCCUGAAUACUUUGUUCUUGAAUGGCUCCAAAGGAACCACGGAGGACCUUGGCGGUCACCCGGCAAGCCUUGCCACGGGGUGCUGCGACUGCCCGUGCACAAGUUCGGGAUACUAGGGUACCCCUACUCUAGUACACCAACAGGAGCCCCCGGGCCUGGGCCACACACGGUGCCGAGCGCUGUUGGGCCAGGCCCAAAACAGGGCACGGGCACGUGCGGCCUGGGUUACGCCGUAUAUCACUCUGUAUCCACCGCGCCCUCCCCGAACGACACGCGUCGAAUGCGGCGUCGUGGGAGAGAUCGUGGGUGGUUUCUUUAUUCGGAAAGAUGGAACGUCCGCCCCCUCCCUCCGAUGAGAACCUCCAACCCAGCGCCAAGCUCAGCUUGUUCUUCAAAGGCGUGGUGACGGCCCUCCAGUGACUCCGGUAAAAGAUCCCAAAGCAGCUGGCCGACGAGUCGCGCAAGAUCUACGCGGGAGCUCUUCAAAAGGUGUUGGUGAAGGUGGCCUUCCACAACCCGGGCCUCAACCUCACCAACGUCCUCAAGACCCUGCUGCCGGAUGCUGAUCUGGAAGCGCUCAAGACCCUUGUCGCACCCAUUGUGGACAAGGUGUCAGGACCCCGACUCAAUGCCACAUCGAUCUAGCAUGUAACACCUCAUAUCACUUUGCGGCCUCACGCACGGUAUUCCCACGGGUGCCGCCUUACCUUUGCCCGGGACCGUUUGCGCCUUUUGGCACACGUAUAUGACUGUGUUGCUAGCAUCCAUAUGAUAAGGAGCCCGGGCUGACAUGGCUAGUCGUAAACCCAAAGUGGCACUAACUUACAGGGACAGGCAUCCAUGACCCAGCAUCGAACGUGUUGGUCAUCAGCGAGUGAAUCCAGGCUGUAGCACUGGGCUAGCAGGACUCCGGUGAACCGGGCUGUAGCGGGCUAACAGGACUUCGGUAUUCAUCGCGUGACAUUUCCCCGAAGGGACAGACACAGGAACGAAGAAGGACACAUGCCGGCCAGCCUAAGUGUUCCGGAGCAGUAGCAAGCUACCAUGGCUCAGUGGAAACACUAGGAGACAUUUCCCGGUAAGAGACGCUACUAAGGAUAAACAACUAGAUAGCCAGAUCCCACACAUACCAAGCAUUUCAAUAACAUACACACAAUAUGCUCGAUAUGUGCAAAUACAACAUGGCAUCACAACAUGACUCUACGACUCAAGUAUUUAUUCAUUAGGCUCCGAGGAGCGAGAUAUUACAAACAGGGGUCUCAUGACCCAACAUUCAGAGCAUACAAAUCAAGCACAAGCGGAAGCUAUCAUGUCUGAGUACAGACAUCUAUAAAUGAAAAAGGCUGAGAAGUCUGACUAUCUACCAGAUCCUGCCGAGGGCACAAGAUCGUAGCUGAGGUAACAAGCUAAACGUCGAAGUCCACGCGGUACUACUAGCGAGACCGAAGUCUCUCUGCAAAAACAUAAAAUAGGCAAACAUGAGUACAAAUGUACCCAGCAAGACUUACAUUAGAACUAACUACAUAUGCAUCAUUAUCAACAAAGGGAUGGUGGGGGUUUAACUGCAGCAAGCCAGCUUUGACUCGGUGGCUAUCCUGAACUACGACUGCAAGUAACUCUUUGAGGUGGCGCACACGAGUCCACAUAUUCACCAUAUCAAUACACCACUAUGGAUCCGCUCCCGUCUCCCUACGAGAACGCCAUCCAUAGCACUCACGCUUAUCUUGCGCAUUUUAGAGUAUCCACUUUCACUUGUCUAUGAACUGAUAUAGGCAACCCAGAAGUCCUUUACCGCGGAAACGGCUAUUCGAAUAGAUGAUGUUAACCCUGCAGGGGUGUACUUCUUCACACACGCUCUCACCACUUACCGCCGUUUACACGACAGGUACUCGGCAACCUUCAAGCGGAAGCCCAACGUGGGUGUCGGCCACGGCCUGCCUAAACAAUCAAGUCUCUAGUCCAGGUUUAUUGCCUAUUCGGGUUCCAUCCAUGAGGAGAUCCGGCCGGAGUUUCGCUCACAGCCCCAAACGAUGUGAACAGGGUUCCGUGACACUAAAUGGGCGCCCGGUUUACCCGGCCACGUGCCUACCGCAUCACAGCCCACCCCUACGGUCAGCGCUGCGCACGGCCUCCAGCAUACUACAAACACCAGAAACUACUUGCAACUCCUGGACAGAGGACAAGGGUGAUCAAGAAGCCGAGAGGGUCCAUUGGUUUCGGGCCCAAUGCGUGGUAGUAGCUGAAUCAUGGAUCACAAACACAGAACUCAGUUCCUGAGGACGGCUGCAAUGAGACAACCCACCAUGUACUCCUACAUGGCCUCUCACCGCUACCUUUACCAAAUCGUAUUCACACACUUAGCUCACACACAGUAGGACAUGUUCACACACCUCUGAUUCAUCCCCGAUGAAUCAGACCUGACUCAACUCUAAGCAGUAGCAGGCAUGACAAACAAGCAUGAAUGAGUAGGCACAACAGGGCUCAAACAACUCCUACUCAUGCUAGUGGGUUUCAUCUAUUUACUGUGAAAUGACAGGUCAUGCAGAGGAUAAAGGGGUUCAGCUACCGCAGCAAGUAACAGAUGAAUCGUUGUUGUCCUAAUGCAGUAAAAGAGAGCGGGAGCGAGAGAGUGGGAUUGUAUCGGAAUGAACAAGGGGGUUUUCCUUGCCUGGCACUUCUGAAGAUAACAUUGAGUCUUCAUCAGUGUCAACGAUCACAUCGCCGGAACAUCGUCUACCGAGAGGGGACAGAUACCGGCAACAAAGAAGAAAUACAAUCAAUGCAAUGCACAAUAUGAUGCAUGAAUGUGACAUGGCAAUAUGAUGUGAUUUGAGCUAAUGCAACUAGCAGCGAGUUAAAUGGAGUUGGCUUGAACCCUAGGUUCAAAUUCAAACUCCACAUGUGAUUAUUUAAAUGCCAUUUAAUUGAAUUGUCCUAAACAGCAGCUAUAAAUUGUUCUAACAUGCAUGAAGAUAGUACAGAUGGAUUCCUUGAAUUUUUCUGAUAAUUUUUCAUAUAUAAUUUAUUUCAUUUGGAGUUACGGUUGAAUUUCUAUGAAUUAUUGAAGUUUUAGCUAUUUUCUGAAAUUAUUAAAUCAUUUAAGAUUUAUUUAAAUUCCAGAAAGGAAUUAUUGCGUUAGCAUGACCUCAUAGUGACGUCAGCUUGUCAACAGGUCACUGUCCGGUCAAACCUGACAAUGGGUCCCGCGUGUCAGUGUAAAUAGUUUAGUUAGAAUUUAAAUAAACUAAACUGGGUUAAUUAACAGGGCUGGGCCCCACCUGUCAGUGACUCAUCGGAGUCAACCAGGGCCCACCCAUGGUCAAAGUCAACGUCAGCUGCGCCGGUGUUUAGCCGCCGGCGAGCCCGACGCGGCGGCGAGAGUGGUUUUGGCCACUCCGACGACCAAAAGGGCCGCGGAGGGCAUCUAGGUGGAGCUGGGGACGAGCCGAAGCUCUUGGUGGAGUUAGCUGGGGUCGAGGUGGCCGGAAUCGGCGCCGGCGAUGACUUAGGUGGCCGCCGGAGUUCGGUUGCGCGCGGGGUCGCGUUUCAGUGCGUAGAAGAGCGGGGCAAGGGACUAGAAGGGUGCUACGCAUCGCGAGGAGUAGGUUGGACACUCCAGGGUGACCAUUUGGUCACCGGAGCAUCGUCGGCGGCGAGCUCAGGCGGCGGUGCAUCUCGGUCAUCAAGGGGGCGAUGGCUACGGCAAUCAAACGAAGAGGGGAAGAGGGGAAACGGUGGCGGAGCUCACAGCGGGUGCAGCGGUGGCCUCGGCGAGGUCGGGGACGGUCCGGAGCCGACGAAUUUGACGGUGAUGGCCGGCGGGUCCGAGGUAGAAGACGAGCCCGGUGAGGCCGUUCGGGGGCUUCUGGAGGGGCAAGGCUUGGUGAGGUGGGUCGAGGACGGAGUGGCGGAGCUUGUGGGCUAGUCGGGGAAGCGAGGGAGGCCCGGUGGCCGUGGUGGCAGUGGACGGCGGCGACGAGCUCCGCUCGGUGGCUGCGUGCGAGAAACAGAGGAGGGGGGGAAGGAGCGAGGAGAGUGAGAAGGGUCGGGGGGUUGCGUGGCGUCGCGGACGGGGUCCAGGGCGACGAGAGGAAGGCGGCAAGCAGGAGGUGGCCGGGGCAUCACCAGCGCUCGCCACCGAGCUGCUUCGGGGCGAGGGGAGGAAGACGACAGGGGGGGGACGCCUGGUGGGCUAGUUCGCACAGGAGCUGGGCCGGCUGGGCUACCAGGUGAGCGCCAAGUAAGGUUUCUCUCCUCUCUGCUUUUCCUAUUUCUGUUUUUAUUUAUUUAUUUUGUUCUGUGUUGUUUUAGUUUAGUAAAAUACUAAACCAUUUUAUAAAAUCCUGAAAAUAGUUAUGUGGCUAGAACUAAAAUAUACCAAACCACAUAAAAUGUUCCAGUAUUAUUGGACAUAUAUUAUUUAUAUAUCAAAUAUAUAUCCAAUGCAAAUAGUUAUUGAAUUAAUUCAAAGGCCCAAAAUAAAUGUUUCAGUCACUCCAAAAAUAUUGGUUUGCAUUUUAUUCUUGCCAAUAUUUUUCAAAGUUGAAAAGGAACAUUUCCUUGGAAACAUUUGAAGGAAUUUUUAAUGUUGAUCAUCAUUUUUUUUAAAUGACUUCUGAGGCUCUCCAAUUCCCUAAUUCAAAUUUAAAGAGAUUUAGACAUGAUGCAUGGAUGCAAUGCCACUAGUUACAAGCAAGCUCUAGGGCUGUGACAACUCACCCCCACUAAACAAAAAUCUCGUCCCGAGAUUCAAGCGUAGGGUAAGGUGAAGGGGGAACGCAAACUAGCACAAUCUUCACGAUCCAGUUGCACUUCAAAUGAACGUUGAUUCAAUCACCAUCUUUGACUUGAAGUCUUCCUCUGAGAACUCCAACUAACAUGACAACGAGAGGAAAGGAAAGACCCUAAAAGAAUCGUUCUUCUCGAAGGUCGAACAACUCAGGAUUAACUCUCGGGAUGAGACAUAGCAACAUCUCUUGAGCUGAGGGACGAAGCACACCUCUAGCGGAAAGGAGUGGAACAAAUGACGGAGGUUUAGCAGGUAGACUACAACUCCACACUUAACAGAGUAGUAAACGAUUGUCAGCGCAGCGAGGAGUUGAGUUGCCAUGAAACCACAACGAUGCACCUUAGGGAAGGUGACUCAUGGAGAUAUCCCUUAAGUGGCAAAAAGAAUUACCUUUGAUUCAGGGAUCAUUGGAACUCUUAAAACCAGCCUAAGGCAAUUCUCGAGCGAUCGUUUGGAGGGGGUCGGUAGAAUGGCAUACUCGGACUUGGAUGAUGUGGAUUACCUUGUUGAAGACAACGUAAUGGAUGAAUUUUCUUAUCACCGGAAAUGGAAGAGACCCAUGGUAGAAUGGCCCAUUGGCGGUGCAAGCUGGGAACAAAAUGCAAAUGCUGGGAAUGAUUCUGGUAACUGGGGAAGAACCCAACAAUAGAGAGUGAAUUCACUGUUUGAAAAGGUCAUAGCAUUGCCGAGGAAACUGAGAGCACUAUACAGUUAAUGCCGACGAUCAAACCUAGCACUUGCGCGUGCUCUCAAGAACUUGAGCAAUUCCAUAAUCAUCAAGGUUUUACCAACAUCCGUGUCAAGGGUCCGGUAACACAACUUACUACCAUGAUGAAUGGUGAUGGAGGAUGCAGAUGCAAAGGAAGAUAACACUUUCUUAGAUUUCACCCUUGGCGGGGCCAAGGAAAUAAAAUCUGGAUGAUCGACCGAGAGACAUUUAGCACUCCGCUUCUAAUGUUCUCCUUGAUGUGCUAGUGUAACCCAUUCAUAGAUAUGGUUUGAUGUCUAGAACAUCAAGUAAAAAGGUCGAACUUCGGAACACAGAAAUCCAUAGGGGCAACUAGGGAGUAAAUCCUACGAAAUCCCUAUGGGGAGGUGGCCAACUUCCUCAAUCAAGAUAUUAUAAUAACAGGUCUUCCGGCUGGGUGUGUUGGCCACGACAUCCACUUUACCGGUUAUCGCGAGACCAAUAUUAUAAUUCUUUGGGAAAUGUUCCAACCAUCAUAUCUGCCUGAGAUUCAGAUCUGGUUGGUGUCAGGAUAUUCCAGACUCAUCGAGUCUAGGAAGAAAAAUGAAAGUUUGCAACACAAAUCGACUAGAUGACGUUGCGAGAUUCUCGGGGAAUGAACUACGAUAGUAAGCUCCAAAACAUGAGCUGGUUCUGCUACAAACAUGUGAACACGUUGUCCAAGACAAGCAUGACCACAAAGUAGUCUUAUAAUAAAACACUACCGAGUUCAGGAGGGGGAACCAUCAUCGAGGAUAUCGAAGUCCUUACAUAAGUCCGGAUUAGCUCUUAUGAAGGAACUCCUUCUCCUUGAACAAAUCAAUCAGUGGCUUAGUGUGCUGGGGACACAUAUAGAAUGAAGGUUGCAAGCCUCCAAACUACAGAAUACUUCGCACGUGUGCAUGACUGAUUUGGGAUGAUUCCAAAGGAAACAAAACAAUCUUCCUCGAAUUCAUGGCGGCAACUUACAUCAUAUGCACAUGAAUUAGAGGAAGUCACUACUUUCAUCCAAACAUAUGCUUCAUGAACGAAACACGAAGAGAUGCUUACACAAGUUUCCAACACUAGGUUGAUGUUCAACAUGAUUCAUGGGGAAAGACAAAAAGCUACUGAUGGGCUCAACAGCAACUCAUCGGAAUUUCCAUAUCACUGGACUUCCACCAUCAUGUGAUCACGGUGAUAGCAUUGGUCAGACCAAAGAUGUAAUGGUGUAUGCUCGAGGGAUCAACCACGAGUAAGACAACAUUACGAGCAUCGUUGGUACUGAUUUGAUUUGAUGAUAGCCCACACUCAAAUCAAAGGAUUGAUAAGACAAUAGGUCCAGCAACUGAUCACAGGGACCAAUCGAUGAAGAUAUCAUCUUUCUUCAACACACACUACACAAGGAUAUCCCUUUGGAACGAACUAAGCCAGGCAAGCUUUUAUCUUCCAACUCUCCAAGUUGUUGUCUAGCUUAACCAACUAGCUCAGGGGUAUCCAACACGGAUUCUUGGAGAAAGGGUGGUUUACAGGAUAAACCAACUUGAUCACGAGCUCAACAUAAUAGUCAGGAAACAACCCGGUAACACUUCCAAGAAGAUAUUUGGGAAGUCACGAACCACCGGUAUGUUACUAAGCUCGAGAACAAUCUCGCUUUUCAGGGCAAGACGAUAUGAUCAAAUGAGUGAGGACUUGAAAUAAUUCCUAUCUCAUUGGUCGAGGAGUGCACCAGAAAUAGGGACUAGGCAGCACAAUCAGUCUUAGGGUGACGAUUCAAUAAUCAACACGCUAAGAAUGAGGUUAUCGUCCAUUUAACUACCAAGCAACAGAGUUGCUAGUAGUAUUGAUUUCACACGCCAUGAUUCAUUUGUCGGUAUUCCGGUUAUGAUAACACAGGAACCGAGGAAUGAACAAUGAUGGCAAGAAGUAUCACUGUACCAAGAGUUCAUAGGAUGGUGUGCGAUUCCUAUAACAAUCCCGAUAUAAAGAUGGUAAUACUCCAAGGUAGAGCAGAACAAAAGCUGGAUUAGCAAUUUGAUCUGCGGAGCACAACUUCUUUGACCCAAUCCUGGAUAUGGAAGAGGUACUGGAGUUUGUUUCUCCUAGUCAUUCCACGAUAGAAUGGCUUGACGGACCACAAGAGUAAUAGGCAUCGAUAAACGAAUGCACUCAUACUCUUGACUAUCAAUUGAUAGACGAAGGUCAGUAGACAACUAAAAAGGGACAACUCAAAGGAACAUAUAACUUCCUGAGUUGUGGAUGCAUAGAUUAGUAUGUCGAACCAAGUUCAACAUAAUUCUUCCGGAUAACCCAUGCAGAAAGGUUGAGCUGGCAAAGUCACAACAUAGCAUGGAGAGCUCAUCGAGAGCACUCUUGUUGUCAUCUUUUGGUUCAGAAGAACUCCUGCCAAGAAUGGUUCAUGGUAAUUGGAAGAAGGAUGUACCAUGAACCUUGAGGACUAUCACAAAGGUUACUAAUAUCCUAAAGGAACUAGCAACACUAUCAACAUGAUGUAAGUAGGGUGAAUCUCGGGUUCAAGAACCCAGGAAUAGAAUGCCUACUAACUAAAUGGCAUCACAGGAUGCUUUCAAUAAUAAAGGCCAGAAUCAUCACACUGGGACACAAAACAUGGCUAGACUACUAGAUGAUCCCCUAAGCACUUAGGGUCAUAAUUAUUAGCUCCAACAUAAAUGUCGAGGCAAUAAGGUACCUCAACUCACUAAUUUGUGUGAUUAAUCUGACCAAAAGGACAUCGGGAACGGGAAGAAGGGAUUUGCAAAUGCAUCAGACUGUUUGGAGACCUGGGAUGACUCCGACAGCAUAACGACUGUAAAUGCUCAAAAAGUUUGGAGACAUACUACAAAAUGGUGGCAUAACCACUCAGAAACACAAUAUCAAGGUUUCGAGAUCAACAAUUAACAUACGGAAGUAGUAGGAACUGAACUGAGACUUAAAUCCAACAAUCUUACAAGUCUACAGAUUAGUAACACGUGAUCCUGAUAGAAAGAGGAGAUAGCCUAGUUCCUUAACCCCGCAGGAAAGAUAAGAUGACUCAGAUCAGGAGGCAUAAGGUAUAAGGAGUAAAAAGAGCCUUACGUUCCAUCCCACAAUCAAUUCCCUUAUAUAACUAAAGAAUUUAUAGACUCAACUUCGACCAGUUUGGCUUGGUAAUCCUACACGCAGUCAAGCUCUGAUACCAAAGCUGUCAGGACCCCGACUCAAUGCCACAUCGAUCUAGCAUGUAACACCUUAUAUCACUUUGCGGCCUCACGCACGGUAUUCCCACGGGUGCCAUCUUACCUUUGCCCGGGACCGUUUGUGCCUUUUGGCACACGUAUAUGACAGUGUCGCUAGCAUCCAUAUGAUAAGGAGCCCGGGCUGACAUGGCUAGUUGUAAACCCAAAGUGGCACUAACUUACAGGGACAGGCAUCCAUGACCCAGCAUUGAACGUGUCGGUCAUCAGCGAGUGAAUCCAGGCUGUAGCACUGGGCUAGCAGGACUCCGGUGAACCGGGCUGUAGCGGGCUAACAGGACUCCGGUAUUCAUCGCGUGACAUUUCCCCGAAGGGACAGACACAGGAACGAAGAAGGACACAUGUCGGCCAGCCUAAGUGUUCCGGAGCAGUAGCAAGCUACCAUGGCUCAGUGGAAACACUAGGAGACAUUUCCCGGUAAGAGAGGCUACUAAGGAUAAACAACUAGAUAGCCAGAUCCCACACAUACCAAGCAUUUCAAUAACAUACACACAAUAUGCUCGAUAUGUGCAAAUACAACAUGGCAUCACAACAUGACUCUACGACUCAAGUAUUUAUUCAUUAGGCUCCGAGGAGCAAGAUAUUACAAACAGGGGUCUCAUGACCCAACAUUCAGAGCAUACAAAUCAAGCACAAGCGGAAGCUAUCAUGUCUGAGUACAGACAUCUAUAAAUGAAAAAGGCUGAGAAGUCUGACUAUCUACCAGAUCCUGCCGAGGGCACAAGAUCGUAGCUGAGGUAACAAGCUAAACGUCGAAGUCCACGCGGUACUACUAGCGAGACCGAAGUCUCUCUGCAAAAACAUAAAAUAGGCAAACAUGAGUACAAAUGUACCCAGCAAGACUUACAUCAGAACUAACUACAUAUGCAUCAUUAUCAACAAAGGGAUGGUGGGGGUUUAACUGCAGCAAGCCAGCUUUGACUCGGUGGCUAUCCUGAACUACGACUGCAAGUAACUCUUUGAGGUGGCGCACACGAGUCCACAUAUUCACCAUAUCAAUACACCACUAUGGAUCCGCUCCCGUCUCCCUACGAGAACGCCAUCCAUAGCACUCACGCUUAUCUUGCGCAUUUUAGAGUAUCCACUUUCACUUGUCUAUGAACUGAUAUAGGCAACCCAGAAGUCCUUUACCGCGGACACGGCUAUUCGAAUAGAUGAUGUUAACCCUGCAGGGGUGUACUUCUUCACACACGCUCUCACCACUUACCGCCGUUUACACGACAGGUACUCGGCAACCUUCAAGCGGAAGCCCAACGUGGGUGUCGGCCAUGGCCUGCAUAAACACUCAAGUCUCUAGUCCAGGUUUAUCGCCUAUUCGGGUUCCAUCCAUGAGGAGAUCCGGCCGGAGUUUCGCUCACAGCCCCAAACGAUGUGAACAGGGUUCCGUGACACCAAACGGGCGCCCGGUUUACCCGGCCAUGUGCCUACCGCAUCACAGCCCACCCCUAUGGUCAGCGCUGCGCACGGCCUCCAGCAUACUACAAACACCAGAAACUACUUGCAACUCCUGGACAGAGGACAAGGGUGAUCAAGAAGCCGAGAGGGUCCAUUGGUUUCGGGCCCAAUGCGUGGUAGUAGCUGAAUCAUGGAUCACAAACACAGAACUCAGUUCCUGAGGACGGCUGCAAUGAGACAACCCACCAUGUACUCCUACAUGGCCUCUCACCGCUACCUUUACCAAAUCGUAUUCACACACUUAGCUCACACACAGUAGGACAUGUUCACACACCUCUGAUUCAUCCCCGAUGAGUCAGACCUGACUCAACUCUAAGCAGUAGCAGGCAUGACAAACAAGCAUGAAUGAGUACGCACAACAGGGCUCAAACAACUCCUACUCAUGCUAGUGGGUUUCAUCUAUUUACUGUGAAAUGACAGGUCAUGCAGAGGAUCAAGGGGUUCAGCUACCGCAGCAAGUAACAGAUGAAUCAUUGUUGUCCUAAUGCAGUAAAAGAGAGCAGGAGCGAGAGAGUGGGAUUGUAUCGGAAUGAACAAGGGGGUUUUGCUUGCCUGGCACUUCUGAAGAUAACAUUGAGUCUUCAUCAGUGUCAACGAUCACAUCGCCGGAACAUCGUCUACCGAGAGGGGACAGAUACCGGCAACAAAGAAGAAAUACAAUCAAUGCAAUGCACAAUAUGAUGCAUGAAUGUGACAUGGCAAUAUGAUGUGAUUUGAGCUAAUGCAACUAGCAGCGAGUUAAAUGGAGUUGGCUUGAACCCUAGGUUCAAAUUCAAACUCCACAUGUGAUUAUUUAAAUGCCAUUUAAUUGAAUUGUCCUAAACAGCAGCUAUAAAUUGUUCUAACAUGCAUGAAGAUAGUACAGAUGGAUUCCUUGAAUUUUUCUGAUAAUUUUUCAUAUAUAAUUUAUUUCAUUUGGAGUUACGGUUGAAUUUCUAUGAAUUAUUGAAGUUUUAGCUAUUUUCUGAAAUUAUUAAAUCAUUUAAGAUUUAUUUAAAUUCCAGAAAGGAAUUAUUGCGUCAGCAUGACCUCAUAGUGACGUCAGCAGGUCAACAGGUCACUGUCCGGUCAAACCUGACAGUGGGUCCCGCGUGUCUGUGUAAAUAGUUUAGUUAGAAUUUAAAUAAACUAAACUGGGUUAAUUAACAGGGCUGGGCCCCACCUGUCAGUGACUCAUCGGAGUCAACCAGGGCCCACCCGUGGUCAAAGUCAACGUCAGCUGCGCCGGCGUUUAGCCGCCGGCGAGCCCGACGCGGCGGCGAGAGUGGUUUUGGCCACUCCGACGACCAAAAGGGCCGCGGAGGGCAUCUAGGUGGAGCUGGGGACGAGCCGAAGCUCUUGGUGGAGUUAGCUGGGGUCGAGGUGGCCGGAAUCGGCGCCGGCAACGACUUAGGUGGCCGCCGGAGUUCGGUUGCGCGCGGGAUCGCGUUUCAGUGCGUAGAAGAGCGGGGCAAGGGACUAGAAGGGUGCUACGCAUCGCGAGGAGUAGGUUGGACACUCCAGGGUGACCAUUUGGUCACCGGAGCAUCGUCGACGGCGAGCUCAGGCGGCGGUGCAUCUCGGUCAUCAAGGGGGCGACGGCUACGGCAAUCAAACGAAGAGGGGAAGAGGGGGAAACGGUGGCGGAGCUCACAGCGGGUGCAGCGGUGGCCUCGGCGAGGUCGGGGACGGUCUGGAGCCGACGAAUUUGACGGUGAUGGCCGGCGGGUCCGAGGUAGAAGACGAGCCCGGUGAGGCCGUUCAGGGGCUUCUGGAGGGGCAAGGCUUGGUGAGGUGGGUCGAGGACGGAGUGGCGGAGCUUGUGGGCUAGUCGGGGAAGCGAGGGAGGCCCGGUGGCCGUGGUGGCAGUGGACGGCGGCGACGAGCUCCGCUCGGUGGCUGCGUGCGAGAAACAAAGGAGGGGGGGAAGGAGCAAGGAGAGUGAGAAGGGUCGGGGGGUUGCGUCGCAUCGCGGACGGGGUCCAGGGCGACGAGAGGAAGGCGGCAAGCAGGAGGUGGCCGGGGCAUCGCCAGCGCUCGCCACCGAGCUACUUCGGGGCGAGGGGAGGAAGACGACAGGGGGGGGCGCCUGGUGGGCUGGGCCGCACAGGAGCUGGGCCGGCUGGGCUACCAGGUGAGCGCCAGGUAAGGUUUCUCUCCUCUCUGCUUUUCCUAUUUAUGUUUUUAUUUAUUUAUUUUGUUCUGUGUUGUUUUAGUUUAGUAAAAUACUAAACCAUUUAUAAAAUCCUGAAAAUAGUUAUGUGGCUAGAACUAAAAUAUACCAAACCACAUAAAAUGUUCCAGUAUUAUUGGACAUAUAUUAUUUAUAUAUCAAAUAUAUAUCCAAUGCAAAUAGUUAUUGAAUUAAUUCAAAGGCCCAAAAUAAAUGUUUCAGUCACUCCAAAAAUAUUGGUUUGCAUUUUAUUCUUGCCAAUAUUUUUCAAAGCUGAAAAGGAACAUUUCCUUGGAAACAUUUGAAGCAAUUUUUAAUGUUGAUCAUCAUUUUUUUUAAAUGACUUCUGAGGCUCUCCAAUUCCCCAAUUCAAAUUUAAAGAGAUUUAGACAUGAUGCAUGGAUGCAAUGCCACUAGUUACAAGCAAGCUCUAGGGCUGUGACACAAGGUGAGCGGGAUCAAGAGGAUUGAGGGCGAUCGCGUAGAUUAGGCCGCCCGUUUUCUCCUUUUCUUGUCGCUGUUGGUCAUGUUAUGAGAACAAUCUGUUAGAGCUGCGACAAGCUAUCUUGUAAUAUAACUCUAUUUUGGGUAGCGAUUGCUAUGUUAUUUCCUUUACUUGAUUCCUUCCUUUGUAUGUUUCUGCCCUACGCUUUUAGGGAACUUGUCGGCGCAGGCACCUUAGCCGCGAGCGCUGAGUGCGGGACGUCGGGAGCCUGCUGGCGGUGCCGCUACCGACAAGAAACCUUGUCGCAACUAGUCGCAGCUCACUUAAGUUGUUGAGCGGACUCGAAACAAAGUAAGGGCGCAACUAGCUACGAGUUGGUUCCCCCGCGCACAGGUUUUCCAUACAAAGCACGGUCGUUCGAGGAAGAUAACUUAAAAAAUUUUAAAACUGAUUGCUCAAACUUUGGCAAUUUAGCUUUUCUGUCGUUCGCUUCCUGGUAAGGCGAAACUUUCUUGAACGACGCCUGGUCCACACCAUUAUCCUGUCCUUUCCCCCCGGCAAACUUGUGGGCGAGGGGACCUUCCUUUCUUUGAGAAAAAGAAAGAAGAGAAAAUAAAGAUAUGGAGCCUUACGGCUUGUUAUUGCUUACCGGGGGUAGGCGCUGCACAAAGUGUCAGAUAACACAUGCAAAAAAUAGAAAGCAUGAAAUUGACAAGAUGUGCGGAACACAUGAGCUUUACUUAUGCACGGGGUCUGCGCCCGGCUUUGUACAAAGGAUUACAUGCAACAGCGGCAAGACUUGUACAAAAGGUGGUUGCCGGAACAGGUUUCGGCAACCGUGCCUUACGGGUAAAACUUACGAAGAUGCUCAAUGUUCCAGGAGUUGCUCACCGGAAUGCCAUCUUCGGUCUCAAGGCGGACAGCGCCAGGCCUAGUGACUCGUUUCACCCGGUAAGGGCCUUCCCACUUCGGCGUCAACUUGUUGGAAUUCUUGGCGGACUGAAUGCGCCGAAGAAUAAGGUCACCUUCCUCGAGACUUCUGGUAUUAACUUUGCGGCUAUGGUAGCGGCGCAAAGCUUGCUGGUAUCGAGCAGCUCGUACAGCGGCCUGAAGACGGUCCUCCUCAAGGAGCAGCGCGUCAUCUUGUCGCAGCUGCUCUUGCUCAAGCUCAUCAUAAGCGAGCACUCGAGGUGACCCAUAUACGAGUUCCGUGGGGAGAACUGCCUCUGCUCCAUAGACUAGAGCGAAAGGUGUCUGGCCAGUGGCUCGAUUUGGCGUCGUCCUGAUCAACCAAAGAACCACCGGCAGCUCCUCAAUCCAGUUCUUUCCGCACUUGCGCAGCCUGUCGAAAGUCCUGGUCUUGAGCCCGCGCAGCACUUCAGCAUUUGCCCUCUCCGCUUGACCGUUGCUUCUCGGGUGAGCAACAGAAGCGAAGCAGACCUUGGAGCCAAGAUCUUGGACGUACUGCAUGAAGGUGCGGCUCGUGAAUUGCAUGCCGUUGUCGGUGAUGAUCCUGUUAGGGAUCCCGAAGCGGCAAACAAUCGACCUGAAGAACUUGACUGCUGACUGUGCUGUCACCUUCCUCACUGCUUCCACUUCCGGCCACUUUGUGAACUUGUCGAUUGCAACGUACAAGUACUCAAAGCCCCCGACGGCUCGGGGAAAGGGGCCGAGGAUGUCGAGCCCCCAGAUCGAAAAUGGCCAGGAUAAAGGGAUCGUCUGGAGAGCUUGAGCUGGCUGGUAUAUCUGCUUGGAAUGGAACUGGCACGCUUCACACUUGGUUACUUGUGCAGUUGCAUCCUGGAGGGCUGUCGGCCAAAAGAAACCUUGCCGGAACGCUUUGCCGGCAAGUGCUCUUGCACCAAUGUGGUGACCACAUAUGGCUCCAUGUAUCUCUGCCAACAGCUUUUGUCUGCCUUCCCGGUGAAUACACUUCAAUUUCACACCGUUGAGUCUUCUUCUGUACAGUGUGUUGUCGACAAACUGGCACAUACUUGACUGCCGGGCUACUCUUUCCGCUUCUUCUUGCUCUUCGGGAAGUUCUCCUGUCUGAAGGAAACGGACAAUCUGCUGUGCCCAUGCUGGAGCUUGCGGCUCGACAACAAGGACUAAAGGCACAUCUGCUGCUGCGGGAACAUCCGCUUCUAUGGCAAGAACCUGCGGCUCAGCCGGAGCUUGACAUUCCCCAGCAAGCUUGCCGGAGCAAAACUUGUCGGGAGCGUCUGCUUCAACGGAACAAACCCUAGGGCUUGCCGGAGCAGACUGCUCCUCAGCACCCUUGGUGUUGAUCUUGGGGACCUUCUUGGCGGCGGCUUCGGGGAGCUCUGCCGGAAAAUGGUCACCAGAAAUCAACCUCCCCUUCUUGCUCUGUCCAGUUGAUGGCAUUACAGACGGUUGAGUCAGUUUGAGCACAAAGAUCCCUGGUUCCACAGGUAACUUAAGUGCGGCGCACUUCGACAGACCAUCGGCAAUGUCGUUAUCAGCUCUUGGAACAUGUUCCAUCUAUAGGCCGUCAAAGUGCUCUUCUAGCUUUCUCACUUCAUCAACGUAAGCUUCCAUCAACGGACUCUGAUAAUUCUUGUUCACUUGGCGGACGACAAGCUGCGAGUCACCCCUGACGAUGAGCUUCUUGAUCCCAAGGUCUGUCGCGAUCCUGAGACCGGCAAGCAAACCUUCAUACUCUGUGGUAUUGUUUGUUGCUUGCUCCCUGGGAAAGUGCAUCUGGACUACGUACUUGAGGUGCUCUCCGGUGGGUGCAACAAGUAGCACGCCCGCACCGGCUCCUUGCAGCGAGAAGGCACCAUCAAAGUACAUCAGCCACUCUUUGCCUGCUUCCUUGACGGGGAUGCUCGUUUCUGGAAUUUCUUCAUCUGGUGUUGGCGUCCACCCUGCUAUGAAUUCUGCCAAUGCUCUGCUUUGGAUAGUUGAAGUGCUCUCAAACUUGAGGCCAAAGCUUGACAGUUCCAGUGCCCACUCGACAAUCCUGCCUGUUGCUUCUGGAUUCUGCAGUAUCCUCUUCAGCGGAAAACGAGUGACAACUGUGAUCUCAUGUGCUUGGAAGUAAUGGCGCAGCUUUCUCGAGGCCAUGAGAAGGCCGAAAAGCAAUUUCUGUACACCAGAGUACCUCAACCUAGCCCCCUGCAGAAGGGAACUAACAAAGUGAACUGGGCGCUGCACCAUUCUCUUCUGUAUCUCCUCACGCGCCUGCGCAAAUCCAUCUUUGUCGGGACCAGAGCUUGUCGAUGGAGCCCCCUGCUUGUCGCUGGAUGCAUCCGCCGUGGUUGCUGGCUCAUCAUCCGCCUCCCUCUCCGCUACUAACGCAGCACUAACCACUUGAUUGGUUGCCGCUAUAUAGAGCAGCAACUUCUCUUGUGGCUUAGGUGCGACAAGUGUUGGAGUGGAGGACAGGUAUCUCUUCAAGUCUUGUAGCGCAGCCUCCGCUUCCGGAGUCCAUUUCAUUGGACCUGACUUUUUCAAUAUUUUGAAAAACGGCAGGGCGCGCUCAGCAGACCUAGAGAUAAACCUGCUAAGAGCCGCCACGCAACCGGCAAGUCUUCGUACAUCCUUGACGCGCUUUGGUGCUUCAAUCUGCUCAAUGGCCUUGAUCUUGUCGGGAUUGGCUUCAAUUCUCCGCUGAGACACGAAGAACCCGAGAAGCUUGCCGGAGGGGACUCCAAACACACACUUCUCGGGGUUAAGCUUGAGGUUGAUCUUGUGCAGAUUUGCAAAGGUCUCGUCUAAAUCUUGAAUCAAAGUUGCCUUGUCCUUGCUCUUGACCACUAUGUCAUCCAUGUAGGCUUCCACAUUUCUGUGUAUUUGUGGCUCAAAAGCGUCAUGGACUACCCUUGCAAAUGUUGAACCAGCAUUCUUUAAACCGAAAGGCAUCCGUAUGAAAUAGUAUGUGCCACAUGGAGUGAUGAAUGUGGUCUUCUCCUCAUCCUCUUCUGCCAUGAAGAUCUGAUGGUAUCCUAAGUAUGCGUCAAGAAAUGAAAGCAAGUCACAUCCGGCCGUGGAGUCAACAAUCUGGUCAAUGCGCGGCAAGGGAAAUGGGUCUUUGGGACAAGCUUUAUUGAGAUCGGUAAAGUCGAUACAAAGCCUCCAUUUCCCGUUUGCCUUGCGCACGACUACAGGAUUGGCCAACCACGUAGGAUGGAGCACUCCUCUGACAAGGCCUGCUGCUUCCAACUUCUUGAUUUCUUCUGUGAUGAAUUCUUGGCGCUCCACUGCUUGUUUCCUGACCUUCUGCUUGACGGGCCGCGCAUGAGGAUAGACGGCAAGAUGGUGCUCGAUUACUUUCCUGGGAACACCGGGGACGUCAGACGGUUGCCACGCAAACACAUCGACAUUCGCCCGCAGGAAAGCAACGAGCGUGCUUUCCUAUUUAGGGUCGAGAGUGGCACUGAUGGUGAAGGUACCACCAGUGUCGUCCUCCUUGGCGGACACCUUCUUGGUCUCUGGAAGAGCUGCCAUUGUCUUCUUGCACUUGCCGGUGGAGCUCGAUGGUGCGUCCUCGACAGUAGCACAGCACUCCGAAAAGGUGCGCUUGCCGGAGUGGGCAUCAGAACUCUUGCCGGACUUGGUCUUCUUCUUCCCCCCGGGAGCUUCAACGGCAAGUGACUUGCGAUCUGUUGCGGCUGCUGCUUCCCGGUAGAUCUUAUCGGCGCAGAUAAGAGCAUCCUUCUUGUCGCCAGGGACAGAGAUGACACUUAUCGGGCCUGGCAUCUUCAGCAUGUUGUAUGCAUAGUGAGAGGCUGCCAUGAAUUUGGCGAGUGCUGGACGGCCGAGUAUCCCAUUGUAAGGCAAUGGAAAGUCAGCAACGUCAAAAGUGACCCUCUCAGUCCUGAAGUUCAACUCGCUGCCAAAUGUCACCGGCAACGUGAUCUUUCCCUUCGGCUUGCUCCUUCCCGGAUUGAUUCCUUGGAAUGUGCCGGUCUCUUCGAGCUCGCUGUCAGGGAUCUGGAGUUUCUGGAGUACCGCGGAGGAGAUCAGGUUCAAGCCGGCCCCGCCGUCAACUAGCAUCUUAGUGACCUUGAGGUUGCGGAUAGUUGGUGAAACCAACAUCGGCAAGCACCCGACCGCAGUUAUGUGAUCCGGGUGGUCCUCAAUAUCAAAGAUGAUAGGCGUGUUGGACCAUUUCAGAGGCUUGCGUGACUCGACGGGUGGUUCUGCCGCAUUGACUUCCCGCACCCACUGCUUGAGCUGGCGGUGUGAAGUAUGCAGAGAAGCACCACCGUCAACGCACAGGAUCUCUGUGGCUUUCUGGAACUCCUGCUCUCCGGUGUCGUCGUCAUCCAUAUCUUCAUCGUCGUCGUCAUCUUCAUCCUUGUCGCGGCCGCGGGGAGGUCUGUCUCCUUGCCGCUGCUUGGCCUUGCCGCGGUGUCCUCCUCGGCCGGGGCAUUUCUUGCCAGAUCCUCCAGCACCUUCUUGGGCCUUCUCCUUGUCGCGUCGCUCGUAUUCAGCCUUUUGCUGCUCGACAAGCUGCUCGACCUUCUUGCAGCUCUGGAGGUCAUGGCCCUUGGUGCGGUGUAUCUUGCAGUACUGCUUGUUGGUGUCGUCCUGCUUGUCGGCGACCGCCACAGCCUGGUAGUUGGUGCAUGCGGCAGUCUCCUUGCCGGAGCUACCAACUUUGGCCUUCUUGGCGCCGCCUCCGUUGCCGGACUGCUCAACGACUAUCACAUCUUUGCCUUUCUUCUUCUUGUUGUUCCGCCGCCGGUUUUUCCUUGCCGGGGCAGCAUCCUCGUUGUCAGAUCCUCCUGCUCCUGUAUUCUCUCCGGGGAGUUUCCUCCCUUCCUCAGCACGUGCACACUUGUCGGCCAGGGCAUAUAGCUCACUGACGUCUCUGAUCUUGCACAUCGCCAUCUCCUCCCGCAUCCUGCGGUUUCGCAUGUUCUGAUGGAACGCGCUGAUGACCGCGGCAGGGUGGACAUCUGGGAUGUUGUGCUGUACACGGCCGAAUCUCUGAAUGUACUUGCGCAGGGGCUCUCCUUCCUUCUGGGUGAGCAGAUGAAGGUCGCUCUCUUGGCCAUGAGGCUUGUGGCCGCCUGUAAAGGCACCGACAAACUGAUGGCAUAGGUCUGCCUAGGAGGAUAUGGAGUUGUCCGGCAAGUGCAUGAGCCAGGACCUGACAUUGGGCUUGAGCACCAGCGGGAAGUAGUUGGCAAGGAUCUUGUCGUCCCGCCCCCCGACAGCUUGCACCGCGAUGGUGUAGAUGCUGAGGAGCUCCGAUGGAUGCGACUUGCCGUCGUACUUCUCUGGUACGUCUGGCUUGAAAUUCUUCAUGCUGGGCCACUGGACUUGCCGCAGCUCACGAGUGAACGCAGGGCAACCUACCGCGUACGGCAAGUCGCCUGGUUCCCCUGGCGCAUGCAUGUCGACAGAGGGCCCAGCGCGCUGGUCCGAUUGACGCCGCGCUUCUCUUCGGUGCUCGAUGUGAGUACGAGCGUCUUCUUGCUGUCGUUCGUGAAGAACUUGGCGCUAAUCGCGACGAGCUCGUGGAUCUGAUGAUGCGGUGGAGUCGCUGUCGAGGUAGAUCCGGCGAGUCGACGAUCUUGGCCUUUGGGGCGGAGAGUGCACGGUGGUUGCACCCACACCGGUUUUGUCGCCAUCGGCUCGUGCCUGGCAGUCUUGCCGCGGCCGCGAUGUACUCGGCUGCCGUGGAGUGUCGCCGUUGGUGAAGCCGAUGAGACUCUGAAUGGUGGCCCUCCACUCAUCGAUCUUGUCUGCCAUUGGAGGGUAAUCCAGGAGCAGUUGAGCUCGCGCCAAAGCUUCUGCUGGAGUGGUGGGUGGCAGUGGCGAACGGUGCGAGGAGCGGGAUAUGCUCGGACUUCUAACUAUGUUGGAAGGAGCACUAUCCCGUCCAGGCGACCGUGUCUCGCUCGUGCCAGCAUGUUGGCGUGCAUGCUGGUCUUGAGCACCCCGAGAUCCACCGGCCCGAUCUUGAUCCAACGAACGUAUGGUACCGCGAGUACCAUGACGCUGUCGGUCCCGCGCCUCCUGGGAUGGGCGCGGUGCAUGUACGGACACCGAGGUCUGCGCAGCCUUAUCCUUGGACCUGGCAGCACCGUGAGCUCCCUCGUCGACGCCCGUUCUUCCGCCGGCGUCUACCCCACCACCCGUUUGCUCCGGUGGUGGUGGGAUCAACGCGGACGGAGCAGCCGCCUCCGAAGCCUUCUUCUUUGGUGGCAUGUCGACGGAAAAGAUGAAGAUCUAGCUCGUGUGAACGCCGGAUCAGGUUCACACAACCUCGAUGCCCCCCUACCUGGCGCGCCAAAGAUGUCGGGGAAACUGAUCCACGAACACCUAUGGGAUCGGUGGACCGAGCCCCUUUCGGUUCGGUGGGGGGCGGAGAUCGCACGAAGAGCGGAUCGAGGCGAAGCACACGAGCAGUUUACCCAGCUUCGGAGCUCUCCGAAGAGAUAAUACUCCUACUGCUGCAUGUCUGAGUGUAUUGAGUUCUUGCCCGGGAGUGUUGAGUGCUACAGUACACACUAGCUGCUAACGAGACCGAGCGUGAGUGUUUUCUGCCUUCGAACCCCCCUCUACGUUGCGCAUGGGCCUCCUUUUAUAUGCUCAAGGGGUCACCGACAGGUGGCAACGCAGACAAGGGUAAAAUGGAAAGGUAUUGCGGUUGGUACAACUACCUGUACAGUGUAUCAUACCUAACCCUGACGGCAGGGGACAAAGGCAUUAAAUGCCCGUCUGCGUCCCCCAAAUAGUGCAAAAAAGGGACCGUCAGGGACGCCACCACUUGCCACGAUGGCAAUCUUGUCAGCGCCGCUUGCCACCGUGCACCGCUGGCUGCACAGCCUCUUGCCACGCGCGCCUGGAAAGGUCCUAGGGCGACACGUUGGUGGAUGUGCUGGAGCGCGGGUAUAGAGUGGUAGCUUGCCGCGGCAAGCGCCUUGUCGCGGUCGUUGUCUUGUCGCGUCCGGAAGCUUGUCGCUCACCGGGCCUCGCCGGGACGCGUGGCACGUCACGGCAAGUUCCUUGAGAUGCCUUGGUUGGCCUUCCCGGCAAGCUCCUCUUGCUGGGGCCUUGUCUCCUUGGCUUGAAUACUUUGUUCUUGAAUGGCUCCAAAGGAACCACAGAGGACCUUGGCGGUCACCCGGCAAGCCUUGCCACGGGGUGCUGCGACUGCCCGUGCACAAGUUCGGGAUACUAGGGUACCCCUACUCUAGUACACCAACAGGAGCGCUAGUACACCAACACAGUUCGGUUGAUGGAUUCUACCUCCAUCCUCGUUUAUUGGUUCCCUCUGUAAUUUGUGUUAAAUGUUGACCAAAGAUUUAACUGACAAAAUGUUAGUGUAGGUUAGCAAACAUUGUAUCGUUGGAUGCGUAUUUGAACAUAGUGUUCAAUGAUAUAAUUUUUGGUGACAUGCAACAUUUCUUAUUCAAAUAUUUGGUCGAAAUUUGGUACAAAUUAUAGAGGGGACCAAUAAACCAGGACGGAGGUAGUACAUCAAUCACACACGGUUCCCAAAAUUGGAACCGUGUGCAAUGACUUUCAUUUUGCCUGUUGCUUCAAUCACACACGGUUCCCAAAAUUGGAACCAUGUGCAAUGGCUUUCGUUUUGCUUCUUGCGUCAAUCACACACGGUUGACUCUAGCAAACCGUUGCCUCUGAAAUUCUUUGUGGGACAGAAAACCCUCACCACCCAAUUCAAAAAAGAAAAAAGAAAACCCUGGCCAUCCCCAUGUCACAAAAACCCUCACCCCCGCCCGCCACCCCAUGCCUUCGGUCCCCAUUCACACCCGCACAAGCUCCUCCGCGUCUAUGCAUGGCACUGCCUAUCGCGGCGGUAACCACAUAGCUCGACGCCUGCCGCUGCCGCCAGGCUGCCGGCAAACUCCACCGCAUUUUGCCACUUUCGCUUGCCGCCGCCUAUCGCCAUUGACUUUCUCGACAUUGCUCGUGGUCGACCCAGCUCCGCUUGGUUGGGGAGUAUGCCGUACUGAGGGUUUUUUUUCUCAUGGACAACAAGGUAACUAAUUUAAUGAGAUAUUAUCUCAUCUCUCAUCCCAGUUCAUCUGCCUCCUUUAAUCACCCGGUGGAAAUCGCCAUGAAUUCAUUUUUAUUCGUGCUGAUUUGAGGGUUUCUUCCAUUCAUAGUGUACAGUGCGCUAACACAUGAGGACCUUGCGACCUCUGCCAGAGAUUCCAUUUCACCGUACCAGAUGACUUGAGCAUGUGCGCGGUAUGUUCAAUCUCACCCUAAAUUGGUUGGCAUGGCCUACUUUCCUGAAAGAUAUUCUAAAUAUUGCUACAUUUGGAUAAAAGGUGCCACAUGCACCAUAUAUGUCAAAGGGGAUUUUCCCCUCUUCUUUCUAUAUUAGGCAAAUUAAUGAUGUAUUGUUCUUUUGAUUACUCUCAUAUUUCCAUGACAUCAUGUUUACCCUAUAUGUUUAAUUAUAGAUUUUUGUCCUUCGAUUUCAACAACUGUAUAGUUCUUUCAAUUUGGGCCCAUAUUUGCAUGUCACCAUAUUUUCUUUAACAAUCCUAUCAUUUUCUGCAGCGCAUCCCUUGCUAUGCAACAGAUUAUGUAGUGAACAAUUUUCCCUUUACAUAGAUCACGGCUGCACGGAUGUCAUACUGCACACAAACCAUGGAUUUACAAUCAUUGCUACUGUAUUACUUGAUGAAUAUGGUGACUCCUAUUUUGGCCCUGGCUUUUGGAAAAAAUUCUAACUUUUAUGUACUGAAAGUUGGCACUAAAAUUGGAUUGCACAUAAAAGGGCCUGGUCAUGAGAUAUAUGCUAACUUCCUCGACAAAAUCAUCCGUCCUGAGUUUGUUCGAAGUAAGUUUUCCUUUCAACUAUUCGCAUGUUGACUUACCCAGCAAUGUUAAAUGAAGUGUGUAGUAUUUAAGCAACCAAUUGUUAUUCCCUUUUCUUACUAUAUUCCUACCUAAUAACUUCUAGUUACCAAUACACUUUUCUAUUGCCUUGUUUUAACUAAAUAUUCCCUGUACUCUCAUUUCUAUGAGAAAGCGCCGCUGACAAGGAGACUCUGGGAGGGGAGAACGGGCCUACCAACAAGCGGAGGCGUGGCAAGCUAGAACCGCAAGCGACUCCAGCAGGCAUAUACUUCAUCAGUCGCCUCCCCGAUGAUAUGUUGGCAGUCAUCAUCUCCCUCCUCCCAAUCAAAUGUGGGGCGCGGACAACCGUCCUUUCCCGGAGGUGGUGCCCCCUAUGGAACUUCACCCCUCUCGACCUCAUCGACACCCACAAGCUCUGCCAUGGCUAUCGCAAAAGCUUGGAUGCGUUCUCCAAGAUCCUUGGCAAUCACCCUGGCCCAACCAGAGGCCUUAGAAUGGGCAAGUUCCAUUCCAACGGCAAGGACCUAGCCGAGCUUGAUGACUGGUUCGGAUCCCCCGCCCUAGAUCUGCUCAGUGGCUGACCCCUUUGCAAAAGUUGUGAGGUUUCGAAACCAGACUUAGAAGUGGUAAUAUUAGUUUGAACCUCUCUGAUAUCCAUGUUCAGCGGAUCAGCACGAGCGUUUGCAACUGAUGAGCUGAAUUUCAUUUCUAAUAUCAGGUUGAACCUUGUAAUCUUUGAAUUUGAGCCAUAUAACUCUGGAAUUUGAACCUUGUAAUAUUUCGAGCCUUUGUGGUACAAUCGUUGAAAUGGCAUCAUAUGAGACUCGUAUAUUGGUAGUAGUAUUUUGAACUUAAUAUGAAAUGGUCUUAGAUUUGAUUUUAUUAACCAUUCUCGAAUAUGUUUACCUUGUAGAUCUCACAGCACAUGAUCUGUAUAGCUAACUCGACUGCGAUCUUGGACAUUAUUGCACACAGUUGGUUUCUUCCACCGUGUGGCCUGUAGAGCUCAGAAUUAGUUAUCGCACUAGAGUGUCCAUCAUCACCCUUCUGUGUAACCUUGACCUCAUCACCCACGGGUAAACUUAUGACCGAAGUCAUUCCACACACUUCAUUUUUACAAAGCUUUUUGCCAAUAAACGCCCAUGAUUUGUCCCUCUUCUAGCCGACGCGUGGCAAACCAAGCCGGGCAGGAAGCUUGCGCGGUAAACUGCACGGUAGCACGGGAACAGGCUCACCGAUGAUACAUUUGGCGCUAAUAACCCACAAGUAUAGGGGAUCGCAACAGUUUUCAAGGGUAGAGUAUUCAACCCAAAUUUAUUGAUUCGACACAAGGGGAGCCAAAGAAUAUUCUCAAGUAUUAGCAGUUGAGUUGUCAAUUCAACCACACCUGGAUAACUUAAUAUCUGCAGCAAAGUAUGUAGUAGCAAAGUAGUAUGGAAGUAAUGGUAACAGUGGCAAAAGUAAUAGUAGCAGUUUUGUAGUAAUUGUAACAGUGGCAACGGUAAAGUAACUAAGCAAAGAUCAAUAUGUGAAAAGCUCGUAGGCAUUGGAUCAUUGAUGGAUAAUUAUGUCGGAUGCGAUUCCUCAUGCAAUAGUUAUAACAUAGGGUGACACAGAACUAGCUCCAGUUCAUCAAUGUAAUGUAGGCAUGUAUUCCGAAUAUAGUCAUACGUGCUUAUGGAAAAGAACUUGCAUGCCAUCUUUUGUCCUAUCCUCCCGUGGAAACGGGGUUCUAUUGGAAACUAAGGGAUAUUAAGGCCUCCUUUUAAUAGAGUACCGGACCAAAACAUUAACACUUAGUGAAUACAUGAACUCCUCAAACUAUGGUCAUCGCCGAGAGUGGUGCCGAUUGUUGUCACUUCGGGGUUGUCGGAUCAUAACACAUAAUAGGUGACUAUAGACUUGCAAGAUAGGAUCAAGAACUCACAUAUAUUCAUGAAAACAAAAUAGGUUCAGAUCUAAAAUCAUGGCACUCGGGCCCUAAUGACAAGCAUUAAGCAUAGCAAAGUCAUAGCAACAUCAAUCUUAGAACAUAGUGGAUACUAGGGAUCAAACCCUAACAAAACUAACUUGAUUACAUGGUAAAUCUCAUCCACCCCAUCACCGUCUAGCAAGCCUAUGAUGGAAUUACUCACGCACGGCGGUGAGCAUCAUGAAAUUGGUGAUGGAGGAUGGUUGAUGAUGACGACGGCGAUGGAUUCCCCUCUUCGGAGCCCUGAACAGACUCCAGAUCAGCCCUCCCGAGAGAGUUUAGGGCUUGGCGGCGGCUCUGUAUCAUAAAAAGCGAUGAAUCCUUCUCUCUGAUUUUUUUCUCCCCGAACGUGAAUAUAUGGAGUUGGAGUUGAGGUCGGUGGAGCUCCAGGGGCCCACAAGGCUAGGGGCGCACCCAGGGGGUAGGGCGCGCCCCCCUCCCUCGUGGACAGGGUGUGGGCCCCCUGGUCUUGAUUCUUUCGCGAGUAUUUUUUAUUAAUUCCAAAAGGUUGCUCCAUGGAUUUUCAAGUCAUUCUGAGAACUUUUAUUUCUGCACAAGAAUAACACCAUGGCAGUUCUGCUGAAAACAGCGUCAGUCCGGGUUAGUUCCAUUCAAAUCAUGCAAGUUAGAGUCCAAAACAAGGUCAAAAGUGUUUGGAAAAGUAGAUACGAUGGAGACGUAUCAACUCCCCCAAGCUUAAACCUUUGCUUGUCGUCAAGCAAUUCAGUUGACAAACUGAAAGUGAUAAAGAAAAAGUUUUACAAACUCUGUUUGGUCUUGUUGUCGCAAAUAUGUGAAGCCAGCAUUCAAGUUUUCAGCAAAGAUUAUGAACUAACCAUAUGCACAAUAACACUUAGGUCUCAUGUUUACUCAUAUCAAUGGCAUAAUCAACUAGCGAGCAAUAAUAAUAAAUCUCGGAUGACAACACUUUCUCAAAACAAUCAUAAUAUGAUAUAACAAGAUGGUAUCUCGCUAGCCCUUUCUAAGACCGCAAAACAUAAAUGCAGAGCACCUCUAAAGAUCAAGGACUGACUAAACAUUGUAAUUCAUGGUAAAAUAGAUCCAGUCAUAGUCAUACUUGAUAUAAAUUAAUAGUAAUGCAUGCAAAUGAUAGCAGUGCUCUCUAGCUGCUGCUUUUUAAUAAGAGGAUGAUGACUCAACAUAAAGGUAAAUAGAUUGGCCCUUCGCAGGGGGAAGCAGGGAUUUGUAGAGGUGCCAGAGCUUGAUUUUGAAAUAGAGAUAAAUAAUAUUUUGAGCGGUGUACUUUCAUUGUCAACAUAACAACCAAGAGAUCUCGAUAUCUUCCAUGCCACACACAUUAUAGGCGGUUCCCAAACAGAAUGGUAAAGUUUAUACUCCCCCACCACCAACAAUCAUCAAUCCAUGGCUUGCCCGAAACAACGGGUGCCUCCAACUAACAGCAAUCCUGGGGGAGUUUUGUUUGCAAUUAUUUUGAUUUGAUUUGAGCAUGGGACUGGGCAUCCCGGUUACGGGCCAUUUUCUCGUGAGUGAGGAGCAGAGUCCACUCCUCUUGAGAAUAACUCACCUAGCAUGGAAGAUACAGAUAGUCCUAGUUGAUACAUGAGUUGUUCGAACAGAAUUUCAUUUGAAGGUUUGGAGUUUGGCACAUACAAAUUACUUGGAACGGUAGGUAAAUACUGCAUAUAGGAAGGUAUGGUGGACUCAUAUGGAAUAACUUUGGGGUUUAAGGAUUUUGGAUGCUCAAGCAGUAUUCCCGCUUAGUACAAGUGAAGGCUAGAUAGAGACUGGGAAGCGACCAACCAGAGAGCGACAACAGUCAUGAACAUGCAUUAAAAUUAAUAGACAUUGAAUGCAAGCAUGAGUAGGAUAUAAUCCACCAUGAACAUAAAUAUCAUGGAGACUAUGUUGAUUUUGUUUCAACUACAUGCGUGAACAUGUGCCAAGUCAAGCCACUCGAAUCAUUCAAAGGAGGAUACCACCCUAUCAUACCACAUCACAACCAUUUUAAUAGCAUGUUGGCACGCAAGGUAAACCAUUAUAAACUCCUAGCUAAUUAAGCAUGACAUAAGAAACUAUAAUCUCUAAUUGUCAUUGCAAACAUGUUUAUUCAUAAUAGGCUGAAUCAGGAAUGAUGAACUAAUCAUAUUUACAAAAACAAGAUAGGUCGAGUUCAUACCAGCUUCUCUCAUCUCAAUCAGUCCAUCAUAUAUCGUCAUUAUUGCCUUUCACUUGCACGACCGAACGGUGUGGAUAAUAAUAAUAGUGCACGUGCAUUGGACUAAGCUGGAAUCUGCAAGCAUUCAAUUCAAGGGAGAAGACAAGGUAAUAUGGGCUCUUGAUUAAAUCAACAAUAAUGCAUAUGAGAGCCACUCAACAUUUUCAUCAUGGUCUUCUCCUCUCGACCCCCAAAUGAAAGAAAAGAAAUAAAACUAUUUACACAGGAAAGCUCCCAACAAGCAAAAUAAGAACGAGAAAUCUUUUUGAGUUUUCUUUUAAUUACUACUACUACAGGCAUGGAAAGUAAACUAGCUAAAAGCUAUAACUAAUUUUUUUUGGUUUUUCUUAAGGUUAUUCAAACACACCAGAAGAAAGCAAGAAAAGGAAAUAAACUAGCAUAGAUAGUACAAUGAAAAAGUAUGAGCACCGACAACUAGAAUGAGUGUGUGAACAUGAAUGUAAUGUCGGUGAGAAAUACGUACUCCCCCAAGCUUAGGCUUUUGGCCUAAGUUGGACUAUGCCCAUGGAUUAUAGCUACUCCCUCCAGUGUACUGAGGAGUGUCAUCCGAGUGCCUCUGGCUGGCGAUCUCCUCGGGAUCCCACUGAUAAAAGGGUUGUCGAUAAGGGUCAAGUGGUGGUUCCGACUCAGGCUCUGGAGCUGGUGUCUGGCUCCGGUAUGCGUGAACGGCCUCCAGCAAGAUGAGGUACGUGCCUGAAGAUAAGUCAAACAAAGAGGGUGCAGGCAAGAUAAUAGUCUCACUGUGAGUUUUAUUAAAUCUCAAAUUGUACUUAAGCAUCAUCUCAUUAUUUUAACAAUAAAUUCAUGUGCUACCAUACUCUUAUAAUCUAGAAAAAUAGGGGGCAGCAACUUCUCCUCUUUCUCAUAAUGCCUAAUAGGUAUCCUAAAGUGUUUAGCAAGGCGUUAAGCAAAGAUGCCUCCAAAGAUGGGGCCCUUUGUACGAUUCAGACUUAACCGUUUAGCAAUAAUAGCGCCUAAACUAACAGUGUUAUCGUGAAACAAAGCAUGGCACAAAAUAACAAUAUCAAGGGCACUAAGGUUUCCACAGUUCCCUCGACCAAUUAAGCAUCUACUAGCAAAUAUUGCAAAGUAACGUAGAACAGGAAAGUGUAUGCUAGUAAUUCUUGCAUCGAAAACCUUCCUCGUUUCCCCUACAGCAAUCAUAUCAAUAAAUCCAUCCACAUCACUAUGAUGUGGUUCCUCUAUGUUGCCCUCAAAGGGUAUCUUGCAAACCGCACAAAAAUCACAUAGUGACAUCUCCUUAACCUCAUCAUAUAAAUGAAACUCCACUGAAGGUGGUGAUUUAUUAGCAUGAAAGUAAAAAAUUUGCAUGAAAGUAUUAGUGAGUAGGAGAUACUGAUCGAGCUAGUCAUGGAGGAAGUCGGUGAGGUCUGCAUUCUCAGCCAAAUGAUAAAAACCAUCAUGAAUCCCGGCUGCUCUCAAGAACUCAUCACAAGGCCAUUCACACGCCGAACCUCCGAUGUGUGAGGGAGAUUAAAUUUGGGCUUUUUGUUCUCUUCACUCUGCUUAUCCUUAGAGCUUCGGCUCGAAGAGCCCCCUCAAAAAUCUCUUCAUCAUUUUCUAAAAAUUUGUGAAAUUUUUAGUAACUCAAAAUAAAAGUGAACCAAACUCAACAAAAUUGAUAGCAACUACUCACAGAAGUGCCUAGAGACUAUAUCACGCAUUAGAACUACUUGGGACCAAAAAAAAUUGACAUGCAAGCUCAAGAACAGGGUCACCUCAGUAGCAAAAAAUUGCAAUGAAUAAAGUACUAGAACAAAAACUAAUUGGACCAUUGGAGGAGUCACAUACCAAAGAACAAUCCCCCGAAGCAGUUUUGUGAAAGGAACUUUGAGCAAGGAGAUCGGAAAUGGCAGCAAGAUGAGCUAGAACUCGUGAUUGAGCUGGUUGGUGAUUUUUUUGGGAGGAAGAAGAAGAGUGUGGGUGCAGGAAAAAGUGGAGGGGGCCCGCCAGGGGCCCAUGAGGCAGGGGGCACGCCCCAGGGGGGGUGGGCACGCCGUGGACCCUCGUGGCCAGGUGCUGGCUCCCCCUGAUGUGUUCUCAGUGCUAGAUAUUUUCAAAUAUUCUAGAAAAAAUCAUAUUUCAUUUUCAGGGCAUUUGGAGAACUUUAUUUUUGGGGUAUUUUUUUUAUUGCAAGGAUAAUUCAGAAAACAGACAGAAAAUACUAAUUUUGCUUUAUUUAAUCUAAAUAACAGAAAGUAAAAGGAGGGUACAGAAAGUUGUGCUUUCUAACCUCAUCCAUCUCAUGCUCAUCAAAAGGAAUCCACUAACAAGGUUUAUCAAGUCUUGUUAACAAACUCAUUCUGAAUCGCAUGAAACCGGAGAAAUUUCGAAUAACACUAGGUUACCUCAACGAGGAUAUGCACGUCCCCAACAAUAAGAAUAUCAUAUUUCUUCUUGACAAUAGGAAGAGGAAAUUCAAAACCUCCAAUAAUAAUCGAAGGAAUUUUUUCAAUAGAAUUGAUACUGUGAACUUGAGGUUGUUUCCUCGGAAAGUGUACCGUAUGCUCGUUACCAUUAACAUGAAAAGUGACAUUGCCUUUGUUGCAAUCAAUAACAUCCCCUGCAGUAUUCAAAAAGGGUCUACCAAGGAUAAUCGACAUACAAUCGUCCUCGGGAAUAACAAGAAUAACAAAGUCCAUUAAAAUAGUAACGUUUGCAACCACAACAGGCACACCCUCACAAAUACUGACAGGUAUAGCGGUUGAUUUAUCGGCCAUUUGCAAAGAUAUUUCAGUAGGUGUCAACUUAUUCAUGUCAAGUCUACGAUAUAAAGAGAGAGGCAUAACACUAACACCGGCUCCAAGAUCACAUAAACCAGUUUUAACAAAGUUUCUUUUAAUGGAGCAUGGUAUAGUUGGUACUCCUGGAUCUCCUAGUUUCUUUGGCAUUCCACCCAUAAAAGUAUAUAAUUAGCAAGCAUGGUGGAAAUUUCAGCUUCCGGUAUCUUUCUUUUAUUUGUAACAAUAUAUUUCAUGUACUUAGCAUAAGGAUUCAUUUUAAGCAUAUCAGUCAAACGCAUACGCAAAAAGAUACGUCUAAUCAUUUCAGCAAAGCGCUCAAAAUCCUCAUCGUCCUUUUUCUUUGAUGGUUUAGGAGGAAAAGGCAUGGGUUUCUGAACCCAUGGUUCUCUUUCUUUACCGUGCUUCCUAGGAACGAAGUCUCUCUUAUCAUAACGUUGAUUCUUUGAUUGUGGGUUAUCAAGAUCAACAGCAGGUUCAACCUCUACAUCAUUAUUAUUGCUAGGUUGAGCAUCAACAUGAACAUCAUCAUUAACAUUAUCACUAGGUUCAUGUUCAUCACCAGAUUGUGUUUCAGCAUCAGAAAUAGAAAUAUCAUUAGGAUUCUCAGGUGUGUCUACAACAGGUUCACUAGAAGAAUGCAAAGUCCUAUCAUUUUUCUUUUUCUUCCUCCUAUAAGGACUAGGUGCAUCAACAUUAUUUCUUUGAGAAUCUUGCUCAAUUCUCUUAUGGUGGCCCUCAGGAUACAAAGAUAUCUGACUCAUUUUACCACCUCUGGUCAUAAUUCUAACAUCAUUAUCAUUUCUCUUAUCAUUUAAUUCAUUGAGCAAAUCAUUUUGAGCUUUAAGCACUUGUUCUACUUGGGUGGUAACCAUAGAAGCAUGUUUACUAAUGAGUUUAAGUUCACCUUUAACUCUAGACAUAUAAUCACUCAAGUGUCCAAUCAUAUAAUCAUGAUGUUUCAAUUGUCUACCAACAUAAGCAUUGAAGUUUUCUUGUUUAGCCAUAAAGUCAUCAAACUCAUCUAAGCAUUGGCUAGCAAACUUAGUAGACAGGAUUUCAACUUUAUCAUAUCUAUAGAGAGAAUUUACCUUUACUACCUGUGUCGGGUUAUCAAGACCAUGUAUUUCUUUAAUAGGUGGUAUAAUAAGGCCAUGUAUUUCUUCAACAUGAGGUAAAUUCUUAACAUCUUCAACUUUAAUACCUUUUUCUUUCAUAGAUUUCUUUGCCUCUUGCAUAUCUUCAGGACUGAGAAAUAGAACACCUCUUUUCUUCGGAGUUGGCUUAGGAGUUGGUUCAGGAAGUGUCCAAUUGUUUUCAUUAGUCAACAUAUUAUUCAAUAACAAUUCAGCUUGAUCAACAGUUCUUUCCCUGAAAACACAACCAACACAACUAUCUAGGUGGUCUCUGGAAGCAUCGGUUAGUCCAUUAUAAAAGAUAUCAAGUAUUUCAUUUUUCUUGAGAGGAUUAUUAGGCAAAGCAUUAAGUAAUUGGAGAAGCCUCCCCUAAGCUUGUGGGAGACUCUCUUCUUCAAUUUGCACAAAAUUAUAUAUUUCCCUUAAAGCAGCUUGUUUCUUAUGAGUGGGGAAAUAUUUACCAGAGAAGUAAUAAAUCAUAUCCUAGGGACUACGCACACAACCAGGAUCAAGAGAAUUACAUUUUUUAGCAUCACCCAUUAGUGAGAACGGAAAUAAUUUAAGGAUAUAGUAGUAAUAAGUUUUCUCAUCAUUAGUGAACAGGGUGGCUAUAUCAUUCAAUUUAGUAAGAUGUGCCACAACAAUUUCAGAUUCAUAGCCAUAAAAAGGAUCAAAUUCAACAAAAGUAAUUAUCUCAGGAUUGACAGAGAAAUCAUAAUCCUUAUCAGUAACACAGAUAUGUGAAGUAGCAAAAGCAGGGUCAUAUUUCAUUCUAUCAUUCAGUGACUUUUCUUUAAGCUUAGCUAAUAACUUCUUAAGAUCAAAUCUAUCAUUGCAAGCAAGAAAAUCUCUAACAGUUUCUUCAUCCAUAACAUAACCCUCAGGCACAACAGGUAAUUCAUAUCUAGGGAGAGAAUCUUGAUCAUCACUUUCAUCAAUAUUAUCUGUUUCAAUAAUUUCAUUCUCUCUAGCCCUAGCAAGUUGUUCAUCAAGAAAUUCACCUAAUGGCACAGUAGUAUCAAGCAUAGAAGUAGUUUCAUCAUAAGUAUCAUGCAUAAGAAGUGGCAUCAUCAAUAACAUGUGACAUAUCAGAAUUAAUAGCAGAAGCAGGUUUAGGUGUCACAAGUUUACUCAAAACAGAUGGUGAAUCAAGUGCAGAGCUAGAUGGAAGUUCCUUACCUCCCCUCGUAGUUGAGGGAAAAAUCUUAGUUCUUUCGUCUUUCAAGUUCCUCAUAGUGAUCAGCAGAUAUAGAUCCCAAGUGACUCAGAGAAUAGAGCUAUGCUCCCCGGCAACGGUGCCAGAAAAUAGUCUUGAUAACCCACAAGUAUAGGGGAUCGCAAUAGUUUUCGAGGGUAGAGUAUUCAAACCAAAUUUAUUGAUUCGACACAAGGGGGGCCAAAAAAUAUUCUCAAGUAUUAGCAGUUGAGUUGUCAAUUCAACCACACCUGGAUAACUUAAUAUCUGCAGCAAAGUAUUUAGUAGCAAAGUAGUAUGGAAGUAACAGUAACAGUGGCAAAAGUAAUAGUAGCAGUUUUGUAGUAAUUGUAACAGUGGCAACGCUAAAGUAACUAAGCAAAGAUCAAUAUGUGAAAAGCUCGUAGGCAUUGGAUCAGUGAUGGAUAAUUAUGUCGGAUGCGAUUCCUCACGCAGUAGUUAUAACAUAGGGUGACACAGAACUAGCUCCAGUUCAUCAAUGUAAUGUAGGCAUGUAUUCCGAAUAUAGUCAUAUGUGCUUAUGGAAAAGAACUUGCAUGACAUCUUUUGUCCUACCCUCCCGUGGCAGCGGGGUCCUAUUGGAAACUAAGGGAUAUUAAGGCCUCCUUUUUAAUAGAGUACCGGACCAAAGCAUUAACACUUAGUGAAUACAUGAACUCCUCAAACUAUGGUCAUCACCAAGAGUGGUCCCGAUUGUUGUCACUUCGGGGUUGUCGGAUCAUGAUACAUAAUAGGUGACUAUAGACUUGCAAGAUAGGAUCAAGAACUCACAUAUAUUCAUGAAAACAUAAUAGGUUCAGAUCUGAAAUCAUGGCACUCGGACCUAGUGACAAGCAUUAAGCAUAGCAAAGUCAUAGCAACAUCAAUCUCAGAACAUAGUGGAUACUAGGGAUCAAACCCUAACAAAACUAACUUGAUUACAUGGUAAAUCUCAUCCAACCCAUCACCGUCCAGCAAGCCUAGGAUGGAAUUACUCACGCACGGCGGUGAGCAUCAUGAAAUUGGUGAUGGAGGAUGGUUGAUGAUGACGACGGCGACGGAUUCCCCUCUCCGAAGCCCCGAGCGGACUCCAGAUCAGCCCUCCCGAGAGAGUUUAGGGCUUGGCAGGGGCUCCGCAUCGUAAAACGCGAUUAAUCCUUCUUUCUGAUUAUUUUCUCCCCGAACGUGAAUAUAUGGAGUUGGAGUUGAGGUCGGUGGAGCUCCAGGGGUCCCACGAGGCAGGAGGUGCGCCCCCCACCCUCGUGGACAGGGGGUGGGCCCCCUGGUCUUGAUUCUUUCGCCAAUAUUUUUAUUAAUUCCAAAAAGUUGCUCCAUUGAUUUUCAGGUCAUUUCGAGAACUUUUAUUUCUGCACAAAAAUAACACCAUGGCAGUUCUGCUGAAAACAGCGUCAGUCCGGGUUAGUUCCAUUCAAAUCAUGCAAGUUAGAGUUCAAGACAAGGGCAAAAGUGUUUGGAAAAGUAGAUACGAUGGAGACGUAUCAGGCGCCUCUUCGAGCCCACGCGUGGUCAAACUGCGGUGCGGUGUUGUCAAGCAUGCACUGGAAUCCUCCGCUAUGAUUGUCGUGACAAGAUGUGACGAUUACAGGCUGGUUGGCCCCCAUUUGUUACAACGGCUAUUUAACCCUUGUGUCUUUUCAACCUUUCGAUCGCGCCCCACCAUUAUAAGAAGCACACCACCACGACAAAUUCUUAGAGAGUAUCAUGCGCUGCUCCAAUGGCGCUCCUAGCGGCUACCAACGACGAGCAGCAGUUCACCAUCCAUGUCGUGGUGGACACCGCUCAAAGGUUCGAGGAGCUCUCGGUGGUGUACACCAACUGAAAGAUCGAGGAUGUCGCCUAGAGGGGGGGUGAAUAGGCGCUUUAAAAUAAUUACGGUUUAGGCUUGAACAAAUGCGGAAUAAACCUAACGGUUAAUUUGUCAAGCACAAAACCUAAAACAACUAGGCUCACCUAUGUGCACCAACAACUUAUGCUAAGCAAGAUAAGCAACUAUGUGAUAGCAAGAUAUAUGACAAAGAACAAUAUGGCUAUCACAAAGUAAGUUCAUAAGUAAAGGGCUCGGGUAAGAGAUAACCGAGGCACGCGGAGACGACGAUGUAUCCCGAAGUUCACACCCUUGCGGAUGCUAAUCUCCGUUUGGAGCAGUGUGGAGGCACAAUGCUCCCCAAGAAGCCGCUAGGGCCACCGUAAUCUCCUCACACCCUCGCACAAUGCAAGAUGCCGUGAUUCCACUAAGGGACCCUUGAGGGCGGUCACCGAACCCGUACAAAUGGCAACCCUUGGGGGCGGUCACCGAACCCGUACACUUUGGCAACCCUUGGGGGCGGUCACCGGAAUCCGUCAAAAUGCUCGGGGCGAUCUCCACAACCUAAUUGGAGACCCCGACGCUUGCCCGGAGCUUUACACCACAAUGAUUGAGCUCCGAACACCACCAACCGUCUAGGGCGCCCAAGCACCCAAGAGGAACAAGCUCAAGGGCACCAAGCACCCAAGAGUAAUAAGCUUCUCAACUUGAAACUUCCACGUAUCACGUGGAGAACUCAAACCGAUGCACCAAAUGCAAUGGCAAGGGCACACGGAGUGCCCAAGUCCUUCUCUCCCAAAUCCCACCAAAGCAACUAAUGCUAGGGAGGAAAAUGAGAGGAAGAACGAAAGAAGAACACGAAGAACUCCAAGAUCUAGAUCCAAGAGGUUCCCCUCACAUAGAGGAGAAAGUGAUUGGUGGAAAUGUGGAUCUAGAUCUCCUCUCUCUUUUCCCUCAAAACUAGCAAGAAUUCAUGGAGGGAUUGAGAGUUAGCAAGCUCGAAGAAGGUCAACAAUGGGGGAAGAACACGAGCUCAAAGGAUAAAGUUCAUUGGGGAAGAAGACCCCCUUUUAUAGGAGGGGAAAAAUCCAACCGUUAUGCUCACAACCCGCACAGAGCGGUACUACCGCUCGUCCUCACGGUACUACCGCUAGGGAUCGCGGUACUACUGCUUGCGGUACAAAAAAAUACUUCCGUACCUACCUCCGCAGGACUUGGGACGAGUUUUUUGGUCCGGAGCGGUACUACCACUUUAGGAGCCGCGGUAGUACCGCUCCAAUUUGCGGUAGUACCGCUGCAGCCUUUUCAGAACACCAAAACUGCCCUUUUGCAAACGGACUCCGAAUUCGAUGAAACCAAGUUUGUUGGAAAGCUAGCGACAAGGGCUAACACAAUCUUGAAAUAAAUACCAAUAACAAGCAAAUGAGAAAAGGCCCAAAAGAAAAUGGUGAGAACCCUUCCUCGGAGAAGACCGGUAAAACUUCCAACACCGAAAACAUCAUAGAAGACGCAUGCAAACUCCGUUUUCGAUGAACUCAAGCUUGUCAUCAAGAUGACCAUAAGCUCUAAGACUCGCAAAGAGAAUCAAACAAGAACCAAGAAACAUGACGCAAGGAUGCAAUGGUUUGAGCUCUCCACAAACGAUACGAUCAAGCAACUCAUCGAGAGCCCCCCUUGAUAGUACGGCAAUCGAUCCUAUAACCCGGUCUCCCACAACUACCAUGAGACCGGUAAAAUAAAAAACCUAUCAAGGGUAAACCUUUGCCUUGCACAUGGUCCACUUGAGCUAGAUGAUGACGAUCUUCACUCCCUCAAGUUGGACCACCUUUCUUGAUUGCGUUGGCUCGAUGAAGACUAGAUGAUUGCUCCCCCAUAGUCCACUAUGGGUGAGCCACUCUUCGGCUCAUCUUCACAAGUCCAUUGACACCACAAUGGAUGGCAAGAUUCAAGCACUUGAUCUCUUCGUGAUGCUCCACUUGAAAUUGCACACGACAAUCUUGAUGGCGAUCACCACUUGAUGUCAUCCUUUCCAUGGGUUGUAUGAUAUGUUCCUCUUGAUGCAAGCCCAUGGAUACGUACCUAACCCCACAUAGAACUCUCACAUAGACCAUGGGUUAGUACACAAAGUGCAAUGGACAAUGCUUACCAUACCAUGGGAUCACUUGAUCCCUCUCGGUACAUCUUCUACGCUUUGUGAGUUAAUCAACUUGAUUCACUAUUGACUUAGUCUUGAUCAACCUUGAAUCUUUGCAACUCUCUUCAUUUGGAUGAUGUAUUGAAGGUAAACAUGAAUGAUCACACAACCUUCUUCUUCAAGACAUGCUUGCAAUAAGCUCAACACCCGCAUGACCAAUCUUUGGAUAAUUCCUUAAUAGCACCUUGGUCAACUCAUAAACUCCUUGAAACCAACACAUGGACUUCAAGAAAAGCCUAUGGACAAAUCCUUCAAAUAUAACUCAAGACAACCAUUAGUCCAUAGAGAUUGUCAUCAAUUACCAAAACCAAACAUGGGGGCACCGCAUGUUCUUUCAAUCUCCCCCAUUUUGGUAAUUGAUGACAAUCACUUUCAAGAGAGUUUAUACAAGGAAUUAUGCAUCACCAUGCAAUGCAACAACCAAUGAUGCAUGAGAAUGAGAUGAAAAUGCUUAGGAACCAAAACCAAAGCAAGGAGAAAACUCAGAAGACUUCUCCACAAAACUCUCUGAAACUCCUCCCCCAUUGGCAUCAAUUGCCAAAAUGGGUGAAAAGCUAAGAAGGCCAAAAUAAAAGGUGUUCCUCCAUAAAUUGUGUAUUUCUCAACAAGAGAGUGGAUUGCAAUACACAUAUCCAACUGCCAAUACUUGGAGGAAGACAAACUAUAUUGAGGCCCAAAGAUUGCAACAAAAAGAUAUGACACAAAGACAUAACAAAGAGAGACACAAGCAAUCAGAAGAUACCAAUUGAAGCAAGCAAUCAACGGAUAUCAAUUGAACCAACUAGACCAAUGAUCCUACAUGCCACAAGAAUAAAGAUAUUAUGAUAAGCGCAAAGGAGUGUUCUAAAGAAACUAGAGAAGCUCCCCAUGAUUUGUGCACACAUAAGAAUUUUUGUAUUUGAAUACAAAGUGCACAAAAUAGGAUCAUAGCUCCCCCAGAAUCAAUAGAAACUCACAUCCAGUGCAAGUGAGCAUAUGGGAAACAAAGCCUAGCACUUGCAACAAGCACAUGGUUGAGCAACAUGUAAAAGAGGCAACUUAAGAAUAGGCUCAACCAAAAUGAUGUGUGUGAGUCAUGGCGAAGCACUUGAGAAGACUAAAAUUAGGAUGAGCAUUAAGCAUCAACAUAGUCUUGAAAGAAUGAGGCACACGGUGCAAGGCCUAUCAUUCCCACACACAACUAGCAAAUGGGUUCACAAGCUUACUAAUAAGCAUAUAAAGAACUUAUGCUUGUGACGACCUGUGGUGAAGAUAGAAGAUGAAAGCCUCAUCAAGACGAGGGAUGCCAAUUAAGAUGGAAAAAGCCUCGUAAAGAUAAGCAUGAGGAAAAUAAUCUUCACCACACAAGAGUGCAUCAAGAUGCAAUGAUAGAGGACACACACUCAAGGCAAAAGCUUUCACGGAGCCACCAAAGAAAUACCAUAAGAAAGACAAGGUGGACGUGAAAGAAAGGAUAUCAACUAGAGAUGUAAUUUCUCUCAAGUGUAUAAGGUUCUAUGUAGACGAAAUCAUGAUGAUAUAUAUAUAUAUAUAUCUACAAAGAAGGAUGUACACCCAAAAUAGUUACAACAGAAGGAACAAGAUAUCCACAAGGAAGUCAUAAAUAUACCAAUAAGAUAUUUGCUUGAAAGCAUAGCACUUGGCUAGAUAUGGUCUUAUUGUAUAUAAAUGAAUUCCAAUCACACAUCCAUCAAAGACAUCACAACUAGCAACAAGAGAUCAUCAUUGGGAUGCUUUGAGAAAGGAAACAAGUAUCACAAGAUAUGAAAUGAAUAUCAUGCCAAGAUGCAACCUACACAAGGUUGAAAGUAAGAGAGGAAAGCAUGAAUAGAUACUUGUUACAGAGAUAUCAUUGGAAGGAUGUAGUAGAUACCAAUUGAAGGUAGAUAGUAGUUCAUUGAUCAUCCUAGCUUGACUCCAAUAUGCACAUGGUGACAACACCUUCCUUGUGAGUGAGCCGAGCAUCCAAUGUAUCUCCAAAUGUUCCUAGAAGAACAACACAAACUAAACGGUACCCAAACUCAUUGGGACCACAUAAUUAGAAACACCAAUACGUAGGACAAACUACACAUAAAUAUGUGCAUAUAGAUAUGAAAAUAAAUAUCAUGCACAUCUCAUCCAAUUUGAGACUUGGUGGAGUUUCCCCUAUAUAUUGGGUCAAAGAAAGAAAGCAUGCCAAAUAAAAUACAUGAAGUAAACAUGCAUGCUCAAAACUUUCAGGAACCGAAACGAAAAGACAAAGAAAUGCCAAGCGAAAAGGAUACCAAAUGGAGAAAUCAUCACUUGGAAGAUAUCAUUAAAGAUACAUGAAGGAAUGAGAUAUCCAUCGAUACACACUAAAAUAAAGAUGUCAAACUCCUAGUGAGAGGAUGGUUCCAAACAAACCAAGCUCUCAACAAAGUUUCAUGAUGGCACAAGGUACCAAAAGAAAACAACUUUCCUUCCACCAACACACACUUGAUAAGGAUCACAAGAAGAGUGUUCUAAAGAAAAUAGGAUAGCUCCCCCAUGAUUUGUGCACUAUAGAGAAUUUGCUUUGAAUACCAAAUGCACAAGGUGGGAUCACCACUAUCACUAUAUCUGGAAAACACUAGACAAGAACAAGAAAUUAACAAGAUCCACAAGUGGUAUGGAAGACAGCGGGAGUUGACACAAACCUUGGCUAGAGAAAAGGCAAAUAAAAACAAAAGCCAAUGUAAAGAUGAUCAAUUAAAUUCUACCACACAUAAAUGACUACCAAUUGUCAAAAGACAAGAAGUAGAUGGAAAGAAUUCCCGGUGGUAGAUAGCAAGGAUAUCCAACAUCAUCUUCACACCACACACAAGCAAAUUGCAACUUGUAGAGCUAACAUGCCACUUAGGAACAAGAUAAUCUACAAUAUCAACACUAGGUGACAACAUCUCAAAUGUACACAUUUUCUAGGCUAGUAAUAUACAUAGCAUAUUACUCCCCCAUAAUGUGAUACCAAUGAAGAAAACUUAACAAGAGGCAAUAAGAGGAUCUAACACGAGAUAAUCAAUGGAAUUUUUAGAAUUUGAAUUUCUCAUGAGAGAUAUACCACCUAGCGACUAGAUAAUCUUGUAAUAUCAAUACUAGAUGGUAUUCCUCAUGUACACACAUUUAUAGGAUUGUGAGGUGCACAAAGCACAUCACUCCCCCAAAAUGGGAUGUUCCAUUAAUCUCUCACAUGAUCCAACUAGGAUACAAACAAGAAGCAAAAAGGCUCAACGCAUGAUGCACAUGUACAUGAUGUGCAAACCAACACACACAUACUUGAUUGCUCAAGAUAAGCAAGUUGGAAGCACAACAUAUACAAACACAUGCAAGGAACAAAACCAAAACAUGCAAAGGGGCAAGUAACUUUCAAUGUAAACAAUUUAAGUACAAUUACCGCAAGGAGGCACAUUGGAUAUAAGAUAGAAACUUAGCAACCCAAUUGACUUGGCUUGAGACAACAAGAAAGAUGAAGUCCCCUUAAUUCUUCAUAAUGUAGCCAAGUCUCCAAUGACCUCCAAAAACACCUAUUGAUCAAGUUUGAGCUUGUUGGUCCCCAACCAAGUUGGGUCCUAAGAGGUUAGUCACAAUAGGCUUGGCUACCCAAAUGGUUCUUUUCUUGACACCACUUUGAGUACCAACAAACUUGGCAAACACAUUGCCAACCUUAUCCUUCCCAAGAGAAUAGAUAUCAUCAAUAAUAAUUGGGUUGGAUAAGUUACCACUAGUGCAUGAAGAAGCGACGUGACCUUUCUCACGACAUAAGUAGCAACGUCUACUCUUCACUUUCUUCUCACUUGAUUUCUCAACUUGAGAAGCAUUAGCUUGAGUCUUCUUGGGAAGAGGCCUUUCUUCAACUUGAGGUUGAGCAUGAGAAUGCACUUGUAGCCGCUUCCCUUGUUGCUUGUCACUAAUAGCCUUCCUCUUCAAUGGGCAAGAUCUAACAUGAUGCCCUUCAAUUUUGCACUUGAAGCAAAUAAUCUUGGCCGAAUUCUUGACUUGUUUUUGGCCCUUCUUCUUGUUGAUCUUGGACUUAUUCUUCUUGUUGGAGUUGAAUCCAAGUCCACCUUUGUCAUUGGGGGAUUUUUGCACACUCAAGAUAUUGUUGGGUGUGAAUUUUCCUUCAUGACACUUUUCCAAGUCUUUCUUCAAAGAAGUGACUUGGGCCUUGAGCUCUUUGAUUUCCUCUACAUGGUUAGUCUCAACACAAGUACUAUAGGAAGUAUAAGCUUCAUCGUUAGAGCAACAAGGCAAGGAAAGCAAUUCAUCACAAGAUGUACCAACAUUGUGAGUAGAUGAAUUACAAGGACUAGCACAUGGCACUAUACUAUUUUGACUAGAAGUAGUGCUAGUAUCUACAUGAGGCUCACUAGAUGUUACCUUAGCAAUCAUGGCCUCAUGAGCUAUCUUUAGCACACUAUGGGAUACUAGAAGAUCAUCAUGAGAGCUUGAGAUCUUUUCAUGACUUUCUUCCAAUUUCCCAUAAUUGCUAGAUAGUACCUCAAGUUGAGCCCGUAGCUCAACAUUCUCCUUCAAAAUGGAUGCUUCACAAGUAAUAUAGUUAGUAGCACAAGCAUCAUCAUUUACAACAAUAGGAGAGGACAACUUGGCAAGCUCUUUUAAAUAAGAAGCUUCAAGUUGGGCAUGAGACUCGGUGAGUUUGAUGAGCUCACCCUUGAUGACCCUUGAGCCAUUUUGGAGGUGCUCAAAAUCCUCAAGGAGUCUAGCAUGAGAAACUUCAAGCUUAGCAUUUUUACUUUUGAAAUCAUUGGCCACCUCAAGAGCUCUAUCAUGAGAUUCCUUAACUCUAGAUAAUUCUAAAGCAAAAGUCUCCUCAAGAGAUUCGGAGGUGGUUUGUUCAUGUUCAAGAGCUUGAGAUAGCUCCGCGAUCUCAUUUGCGUAAUCACGCCCAUGAGCUUCCAUUUUCUCAAUGGUGACCUCAUGCUCCUCUAGAUGAGAUUCCAACUCCUCAAUGUAUUUCUUGCCAUCAAUGGCAAUGGACAUUAUUUCCAUGAAGUUGGAACGAGCAAUUUUAUUCUUAAGAAGAGCUUUAAAAAUCAUUUCCCCCUUAAUUUUUAAGGAGGCAACAUCAUCAUUCUCUUCAUCAUAAUCGACAUCAUCAUCACUCUUGUCAUUAUCAAUAUCAUCGGAUUCAAAGUGGGAGAUACCUUUGAAGCCUUGGCCAUAAGGCAAAAAGCAAUAGAUGAUGAUGUAGGAUCCCUUGAAGCACCAUUCAAGACCACAUCUUGUUCCAUGGAGUGUUGGGUUUCCUCUACAUUGUUAGCACAACAACACGAGGAAAUACAUGCAUUUUUAUCAUGGCAACAAGAUAUAGCAAGCAUAUCAUCAUGAGAUUUAGUCAAGCAAUUUCUACAUGAUAUGCAAGGACUAUCAACACAAGCAUGUGAAACAUUUGGAGUGCUCGAAGUGUUAAAGCCCAAAGAUGGAGCAUUGCAAUAAUAUAGUGAUGAAGAAUUGUCCACAAUAAGCAUACUAUCAUCAUUGUAAUGACCAACACUACUCACCAUAUCAUUACCUUAUGGCAAACCAGAUAUAGGUGAAGUAGAAGAAGUUGAGAAGACUAUACGGCCGGAGGUGGAGGGAGAACGAUCAUCCUUACAAAUCUUGGACACACCAUAUUUAUCUUGAAGCUUUGUCCACAACUCAUGAGCAUCCCGGAACGGCAUGAGUUGAAAUAUAACUAGAUUGCUCAAAGCAUUGAAAAGCACAUUAGAAGCUUGGGCAUUGAGAUAAGAGUUUUUCUCAUCCUCUAAAGAUAAUCUUUGGGAAUCCUUUGGAGGAGAAAAACCCAUAUCUACAAUUCACUCUAAAUUUGGGUCCAUGACCCUAAAGAGGUUAAGCAUGCGAAUUACCCAAACAUCAAAAUUUGUGCCAUCGAAACUAAGAGUGUCAGAGAAUCCUAAUCCCCUAGUCGACAUCUUUACUCUCUAGGCGAUUAAGCCUAACAAAGAGAGACGAGGCUCUGAUACCAAUUGAAAGAUGGAGGAUGUCGCCUAGAGGGGGGGUGAAUAGGCGCUUUAAAAUAAUUACGUUUUAGGCUUGAACAAAUGCGGAAUAAACCUAACGGUUAAUUUGUCAAGCACAAAACCUAAAACAACUAGGCUCACCUAUGUACACCAACAACUUAUGCUAAGCAAGAUAAGCAACUAUGUGAUAGCAAGAUAUAUGACAAAGAACAAUAUGGCUAUCACAAAGUAAGUGCAUAAGUAAAGGGCUCGGGUAAGAGAUAACCGAGGCACGCGGAGACGACGAUGUAUCCCGAAGUUCACACCCUUGCGGAUGCUAAUCUCCGUUUGGAGCGGUGUGGAGGCACAAUGCUCCCCAAGAAGCCACUAGGGCCACCGUAAUCUCCUCACGCCCUCGCACAAUGCAAGAUGUCGUGAUUCCACUAAGGGACCCUUGAGGGCGGUAACCGAACCCGUACAAAUGGCAACCCUUGGGGACGGUCACCGAACCCGUACACUUUGGCAACCCUUGGGGGCGGUCACCGGAACCCGUUAAAAUGCUCGGGGCGAUCUCCACAACCUAAUUGAAGACCCCGACGCUUGCCCGGAGCUUUACACCACAAUGAUUGAGCUCCGAACACCACCAACCAUCUAGGGCGCCCAAGCACCCAAGAGGAACAAGCUCAAGGGCACCAAGAACCCCAGAGUAAUAAGCUUCUCAACUUGAAACUUACAUGUAUCACGUGGAGAACUCAAACCGAUGCACCAAAUGCAAUGGCAAGGGCACACGGAGUGCCCAAGUCCUUCUCUCCCAAAUCCCACCAAAGCAACUAAUGCUAGGGAGGAAAAUGAGAGGAAGAACAAAAGAAGAACACGAAGAACUCCAAGAUCUAGAUCCAAGAGGUUCCCCUCACAUAGAGGAGAAAGUGAUUGGUGGAAAUGUGGAUCUAGAUCUCCUCUCUUUUCCCUCAAAAACUAGCAAGAAUCCAUGGAGGGAUUGAGAGUUAGCAAGCUCGAAGAAGGUCAACAAUGGGGGAAGAACACGAGCUCAAAGGAUAAAGUUCAUUGGGGAAGAAGACCCCCUUUUAUAGGAGGGAAAAAAUCCAACCGUUAUGCUCACAACCCGCACAGAGCGGUACUACCGCUUGUCCUCACGGUACUACCGCUUGUCCUCACGGUACUACCGCUAGGGAUCGCGGUACUACUGCUUGCGGUACAAAAAAAUACUUCCGUACCUAUCUCCACAGGACUUGGAGCGGUAGUAAAAAAUUACAUCCGCUCCAAUUCGCGGUAGUACCGCUGCAGCCUUUUCAGAACACCAAAACUGCCACAACUUUUGCAAACGGACUCCGAAUUCGAUGAAACCAAGUUUGUUGGAAAGCUAGAGACAAGGGCUAACACAAUCUUGAAAGAAAUACCAAUAAUAAGCAAAUGAGAAAAGGCCCAAAAGAAAAUGGUGAGAACCCUUCCUCGGAGAAGACCGGUAAAACUUCCAACACCAAAAACAUCAUAGAAGACGCAUGCAAACUCCGUUUUCGAUGAACUUAAGCUUGUCAUCAAGAUGACCAUAAGCUCUAAGACUCACAAAGAGAAUCAAACAAGAACCAAGAAACAUGAUGCAAGGAUGCAAUGGUUUGAGCUCUCUACGAACGAUACGAUCAAGCAACUCAUCGAGAGCCCCCCUUGAUAGUACGACAAUCGAUCCUAUAACCCGGUCUCCCACAACUACCAUGAGACCGGUAAAAUAAAAAACCUAUCAAGGGCAAACAUUUGCCUUGCACAUGGUCCACUUGAGCUAGAUGAUGACGAUCUUCACUCCCUCAAGUUGGACCACCUUUCUUGAUUGCGUUGGCUCGAUGAAGACUAGAUGAUUGCUCCCCCAUAGUCCACUAUGGGUGAGCCACUCUUCGGCUCAUCUUCACAAGUCCAUUGACACCACAAUGGAUGGCAAGAUUCAAGCACUUGAUCUCUUCGUGAUGCUCCACUUGAACUUGCACACGACAAUCUUGAUGACGGUCACCACUUGAUGUCAUCCUUUUCAUGGGUUGUAUGAUAUCUUCCUCUUGAUGCAAGCCCAUGGAUACGUACCUAACCCCACAUAGAACUCUCACAUAGACCAUGGGUUAGUACACAAAGUGCAAUGGACAAUGCUUACCAUACCAUGGGAUCACUUGAUCCCUCUCGGUACAUCUUCUACGCUUUGUGAGUUAAUCAACUUGAUUCACUAUUGACUUAGUCUUGAUCAACCUUGAAUCUUUGCAACUCUCUUCAUUUGGAUGAUGUAUUGAAGGUAAACAUGAAUGAUCACACAACCUUCUUCUUCAAGACAUGCUUGCAAUAAUCUCAACACCCGCAUGACCAAUCUUUGGAUAAUUCCUUAAUAGCACCUUGGUCAACUCAUAAACUCCUUGAAACCAACACAUGGACUUCAAGAAAAGCCUAUGGACAAAUCCUUCAAAUAUAACUCAAGACAACCAUUAGUCCAUAGAGAUUGUCAUCAAUUACCAAAACCAAACAUGGGGGCACCACAUGUUCUUUCACCAACCACCCGGUCUGGGUGGAGCAGUCCAUCCGCAUGAUGGAGUUGUUCCUUGCCGACGGGAAGUACAAGGUGGUCGGGUUCGACAUCUAGCACACUCGCGCUCGUGCCGGGUCUCGUCCCAAGGUCACCGUUGCCCAAAUGUGCGUGGGCCACCACGUCCUCGUCUACCACUAUUGCCUGGCCACAAGGCCUUGCGAGUGUUUCGCCAGGUUUGUCAACAGUCCCCACUACAUGUUCGCUACGGUCGACAUCACCAACAAUGUCAAGGUGCUCAAGAAUUCGGACAUCGCCUGCCAGAAUCUUGUCGACAUCCAGGGCCAAUACAAGAUCUGGGGCGGCAAGGAGCAUGAGAAGGACUCACUGGUUCACCUCGCUGAGGCCAUCAUUGACCCCUAUGAUACGUCUCCAAUGUAUCUAUAAUUUUUUAUUAUACCAUGUUGUUUUUUAUCAAUCUUGGAUGUUUUAUAAUCAUUUUAUAUCAUUUUUUGGUACUAACAUAUUAACAUAGUGCCAGUUGCUGUUUUUUGCAUGUUUUUUACAUCACAGGAAAUCAAUAUCAGACGGAGUCCAAAUGCCACGUAACUUUAUGAUGAUUUUUUUAUGGACCAAAAGGAAGAAGUUGGGCCCUGGUUGCACCUGGGGGGAGUCCCGAGGAGGCCACCAGGGCAUGCCAGGAGGCCCAGGCGUGCCUUGUUGGGUUGUGCCCACCUCGGGUGUCCCCCGGACCGCCUCUUUGCUCUAUAAAUGCCCCAAUAUUCCAGAAACCUUAGGGGAGUCGACGAAAUAUUCAUCCAACCGCCGCAGAGUCCAGAACCAUCAGAUCCAAUCUAGAAACCAUCACGGAGGGGUUCACCACUUCCAUUGGUGCAUCUCCGAUGAUGCGUGAGUAGCUCUUUGUAGACCUUUGGGUCCGUAGUUAGUAGCUAGAUGGCUUUCUCUCUCUCGCUGAAUUCUCAAUACAAUGGUCUCUUGGAGAUCCAUGUGAUGUAACUCUUUUUGCGGUGUGUUUUUCGGGAUCCGAUGAACUUCGAGUUUAUGAUCAGUUAUAUCUUUUUAUAUCCAUGAACGUUAUUCGAGUUUCUUUGAUCUCUUAUAUGCAUGAUCUUUUAUAAUCUCAUAUUUCUUCUCCAAUAUUUGGGUUUUGUUUGGCCAACUUGAUCUAUUUAUUUUGCAAUGAAAAGAGGUGCCCGGUAGUGGGUUCGAUCUUACGGUGCUUGAUCCCAGUGAUAGAAAGGGAACCGACACGUAUGUAUCGUUGCUACUAAGGAUAAAAAGAUGGGAUCUAUAUCUACGCAAUAAAUAAAUGGAUCUUGUCUACAUCAUGUCAUCGUUCUUAUUGCAUUAAUCCAUUUUUCCAUGAACUUAAUACACUAGAUGCAUGCUGGAUAGCGGUCGAUGUGUGGAGUAAUAGUAGUAGAUGCAGGCAGGAGUCGAUUUACUAAUCUUGGACGUGAUGCCUAUGUAAUGAUCAUUGCCUGGAUAUCGUCAUAAUUAUUUGAAAUUCUAUCAAUUGCCCAACAGUAAUUUGUUUACCCACUGUUUGCUAUCUUUCUCGAGAGAAGCCACUAGUGAAACCUACGGCCCCCAAGUCUUCUUUCUCAUAUAUUUGCCUUGCGACCUACUUUUUCCUUGCGUUUAUUUUCAGAUUUAUUAAACCAAAAAUAUAAAAAUACCUUGCUGUAAUUUAUUCUUAUUUAUUUUAUUUGGCGUUCGAUCUAUCAAUCUACUACAAAUUACCUCACGUCCUUUGCCUAUCUUGAGGCGCCGUCCCCCGAAAGGGAUUGACAACCCCUUUAACACGUCGGGUUGCGAGGUGUUGUUAUUUGUGUGCAAGGGUUGUUUACGUUGUGUUGCAAUAAGCAGAGCGUUGCAUACGUGUUGGCGGCAUCUGCGUCCAUGUGCUCGUUAGCAACGCUGGACCCGUCGACCAAUGUUGCCAGUGUUGAUGGAUAAAGAAGGCAAUCACAUGUCAGAUUUGUCGUCGAGACCGUGAGUGGCGCGUGUGCCAUUCUUCUGCCUUGUUUUGUAACCUGCUCUUCGUGUGGUGAUGCUACUCAAUCUGCUCUCCACGGCGAGGCAAUUUUUGGCAUCGUGUUUCUUUGUAGUUUGUCGAGUUCUUUUUUUAAGCCAUGGUAGAGUUUUUAGUGUAUUUAUGUUUUUGUUGUAUCUUGAGACGUUCUCAUUGUCGAGGCGGGGUAUUUUUCUUCAACUUAGGUCGAACGGACGAAAAAUCCUGAGAAACGCACCGUCCUUUAUUAGCGUGUAUAAAUCUGAUGUAAUUAGGUCUGACAUGCAAUAGACUAUAGUUGAUACAAAGCAAAAAGUAUAAAAUGUGCACAUAAAAUCUAUAUUGUUUUCCAUGGAUCAAUGAUUUCACAUCCUGGUCACCAACACAAUAUUGAAAAGCAUGCCUCACAUAAUCAGUUUCGUGAAGAUCUCAUUGAGCAUUAAUGACAGCUACAUGAAAAACAGUGUGUUCAUGUUUUUUUAAUCAAUAAUAAUUUACUUGGACAAUUUUGUUUCCCUGGAUUACUUCUUAACUUAAAUUGCUUGUUUGUUUAACUAAGCUAGAUCAAAUUAGUAAUGUUGUGGAAUUUUUUGAUGUUGAAACAUGCAAAUACCAUGAGCGGAACCACAAGGUGUUCAAGAACAAGUCCCAAUUAUCAACUGCCAAGGGCAUCAAAAUGUCAUGAUCGGAAACGGGUAGGUAGCGAUAUAUACAGUGCAAUGAACAAAUGGUGUGUGGUUGAGUGCCGCUUUGUCCAAUACUCUUGUAACAGAACUGUUUCUACUAUAUUAUUAGACACACAGAUCUUUUACGGGUUCUUAGAGAAAUUCAUUGGUUCCUUUGCCUAUACCACUUCUUUGCCUUGGGUGACAUGUGCUGUGAAGAAUGAUUUUAAGAACAUUAUCAUAAAUUAAUAGUAUAUGGGAUGGCGUUUAUAUAAAGAAAGAAAAUGAAAAUGUUCUUCUACUCCUGAGUUCAAAUGAGCUCGGACCUCGGAUGAACAAUGAAAUCGAAUGAAAAUAAAAAAAAAAUCUGAUUAUUUUGUGUGGUAACCUUUGACAAAAAAUUUCUAUGCUUGAAUUUUUUUUGCCACGAAAUGACAUUUGUGGAAGUCAUGGCAAAAAAUAAAACAAAAUCAGUACUCCAAAAUGAUUCCAAAAAUAGCAUUUUUGGAGUAUCAACUUUAUAUUUUUUUCACGACUUCCAGAAAUUUUCAUUCAUGAUAAAUUUUUGUACGCACAUAGACAUUUGUCAAAGGAUAUCACAAAAAAUAUCAGAAUUUUUAAUCCUUUUAACUAUAUUUUUUGAUUUCACUGUUCAUCAUAAGCAUUUGACCUCGGGUGCAAAUACUUCCCGUCCAAAUACUUCUCGUCCCGUGGCACAAAAAAAGGCGCGCUCCUGCUCGCUCACCGCUCCCAACACCACAACCGUCUUCGGGGUUUGAUCACUUCGAACGGGCGGAGCCAGAAUGAUAUUCGGCCUGUUACCAGCUCAUUUCUCAUUCCCACAACACUAACAAGCUGGCCCAUGACAGCCCAGUUAGUCCGUCACAGCACGGCCCGGCGACGCUAUUUCACUGACGUUGCGGUCCUACUGCGUGACCAAACGAAUCCAACGGCCCAGACGCGCCCCCAUCCCCCAUCCCGACCGUCCACCCUAUAGGGUAAUCAAACCACAAAGCCCGUGCCGCACCCUAUAUAUUGCUCCCUCUUCCUCCUCGUCGAACCCUAGCCCAGCUGCCCACCCAUUCCCCUCACCGCCGCCGCCGCCACUGCGCCGCUGCCGCCGCCGAGAUGGGUCGCGUGAUCCGCGCUCAGCGUAAGGGUGCGGGCUCCGUCUUCAAGUCCCACACCCACCACCGCAAGGGCCCCGCCCGGUUCAGGUCGCUCGACUUCGGCGAGCGCAACGGGUACCUCAAGGGCGUCGUCACCGAUGUCAUCCACGACCCGGGGCGUGGUGCGCCGCUGGCCAAGGUGACCUUCCGCCACCCGUUCAGGUACAAGCACCAGAAGGAGCUCUUCGUCGCCGCCGAGGGUAUGUACACCGGCCAGUUCGUCUACUGCGGACGCCGCGCCACCCUCUCCGUCGGCAACGUCCUCCCGCUCCGCUCCGUUCCUGAGGGAGGCGUCAUCUGCAACGUCGAGCACCACGUCGGCGACCGCGGUGUCUUCGCCAGGGCAUCCGGUGACUACGCCAUCGUCAUCAGCCACAACCCCGACAACGGCACCUCAAGGUACUGUUCCCUUUCCUCUCAACCCUCUCUCUAAAGUACAUGACUAUGGUUAGAUCUGACGUUCUCCUGCUAGUAACUGUCAUUAGAUUUGAUGUAUGUGAUUCGCGGUAGGAAAUGAUUAAAUGCUCAUAGUUCGAUCUGAAUAUAUGUUCGUUCACUGCUUCUGAUAUGUGUGAUUUAGAUACUCUUUAAUUGAUUAGAAGCGUCAUAUGUUUGUUAAUCUAUCAAAGACAAAUUCGUAGGAACUCAUUCUGUCUUUGAGCCUUGAAAUGUCUCCUGUUCAUCUUAUAAUCUACAACUGUUACGAUAUGCUUGCUCUUCUGUUAUCCUAGAACUGUACACGAUAUGCUUUCUUCUGUUAACUUUGAACUUGGCAUGACAUGCUUUCUCUUCUGUUAUCUUGAACUGGACAUGCAUCUUGUAAUUCUGUAAACAUUAAACCAGAGACAUGCGAUCUCUAACUGUAUUAUCCUGCUUCUGUCUUCAGAUUGGCCUACUGUGCUUUAAGAAUUAUGAUCACUAGCGUUUACUUAGAUGUGGACCAUUUCUUACUAUCAGUUCUUGUCAGUACAAGAUCAUAUGUGUAUCUUCGGUUAUUUUGCCCGAUGGCCUCAUGCUUUUGAUGAAUUCUUCAGCUGUACAAAUAUCUGUACACAGUUACUCAUUUUCUGUUUAUGUAGGAUCAAGCUCCCCUCUGGUGCCAAGAAGAUUGUCCCAAGCAGCUGCCGUGCCAUGAUUGGUCAGGUUGCUGGUGGUGGCAGGACUGAGAAGCCAAUGCUCAAGGCUGGUAACGCCUACCACAAGUACCGUGUGAAGAGGAACUCGUGGCCUAAGGUGCGUGGUGUGGCCAUGAACCCUGUGGAGCAUCCCCACGGAGGAGGUAACCACCAGCAUAUUGGUCACGCUUCCACUGUCCGCCGUGAUGCACCACCUGGCCAGAAGGUUGGUCUCAUCGCUGCUAGGAGGACUGGUCGUCUCAGAGGCCAGGCUGCCGCCUCUGCUGCCAAGGCCGACAAGGCCACUUAGAGCUAUCAUUGCUGUUUAUCUAUGGUUGCUGCCUCUAGAUUACCUGUCAAGGACAUGUAUUGCAGUAUGGAUGUCGUUUUUGCUCGGUACUUUGGUAACCUGGUGAUGUUUGUUAUCAGUUUUCGCUGUCGUGGUCUGGAUUCUUCGGUCCACAUAAAGAAGAUUAUGCUUGGAUAUUUGGUUGUCCAGUUACUUGAGUUAGCCCCUGGUGCUUAUUUUUGUUUAUUGUUUCUGUUUUAGUUUAGCUCUAUUGGUGGAUCUAUAAACUUGUUUGGUUGAAUCAAACGUAUAGCAGCAGUAUGUUUGCUUCUAUCUGAUGUUUCUUUGGAAUUUUAACCUUAGAGUUUAUAUAUAAAUACCUGCUUUUUACAUCACUUGUCCAAAAUCACCCGUCCAACAAGCUGAGCUAAAUGUAAAUUUGUUCGGAGGACGUGGUGAGGUAAAAUGGCUGCCCACCGGCGAACGCUAACUGCCUCUAGGUACUUAGAGCAUCUCCAGCCGUUGGCCCGCCUGGGGUCGAGGAGGCAAAAUUGUCUCUGGGGCCGGUUGGCCACCCAGCCGUUGCCUCCAGGGAAAACGAUAUCGGCGUCAAUUCUUCAUGAAUAAUUCAACAAAUAGAAAAUUAAAUAGUUCAUCAUAUAGUUCGGCGUGUUUUUGCCUUCAUAGUUCAUCACAGAAAAUCAAUAAAAAUCAAAUAGUUCAAUAACAAAUAGUUCAAUACAAAUUAUAUAAUUUAACAAAUAAAAACUUAUAUUUCAUUACACGUCGUCCCCGGCGUCGCCCUUGAGCCUUCAUAGGUGCUUCCCCACAUCGUGUUGCAGUUCUUGAUGCAUCUAUGGGUCUCAGAUCUCCUGACGCAUAUUAAGGUAGGCAGUCCAGGUUGCCGGUAGCUGGUGAUCAACUUGGGCAAGAGGAUCCUGCCUGUAAUAUGGUUCUGUGUCAAACACUGGUUCUUUCUGCUCGCUCUCAAUGAUCAUGUUGUGCAAGAUGACACAACAAGUCAUGAUCUCCCAUAUUUGAUCUUUCAACCAGGUCUGAGCAGGGUACCGGACAACAACAAAUCGAUUGGAGCACAUCAAAUGCCCGCUCGACAUCCUUCCUGCAAGCCUCCUGAACCUUCGCAAGGAAGGCAGUCUUGCCUCCUGGCACAAGGUUUGAGAUAGUCUUCACAAAUGUUGACCAUCUCGGAUAGAUGCCAUCAGCUAGGUAGUACCCCUUGUUGUAGUGCCGCCCAUUGACCUCGAAGUUCAUCGGAGGAGAAUGACCUUCAACAAGCUUGGCAAAGACAUGGGAGCACUGCAGGACGUUGAUGUCAUUGUGAGUUCCUAGCAUCCCAAAAAAAGAGUGCCAAAUCCAGAGGUCUUGUGUGGCCACUGCCUCAAGUACCACACUGCAACCGCCUUUGGCGCCUUUGUACAACCCCUGCCAAGCAAAUGGACAAUUCUUUCAUUUCCAAUGCAUGCAGUCGAUGCUUCCAAGCAUCCCAGGAAAUCCUCUUGCUGCAUUCUGUGCUAGGAUUCGAGCAGUGUCUUCCGCAUUGGGUGUUCGCAAGUAUUGCGGUCCAAACACAGGCACCACUGCCCUGCAGAACUUGUAAAAACACUCAAUGGUGGUGGACUCGGCCAUGCGCCCAUAGUCGUCGAGUGAAUCACCGGGAGCUCCGUAUGCAAGCAUCUUCAUAGCUGUCGUGCACUUCUGAAUUGAGGUGAAUCCAAGUUUGCCGGUGCAAUCCUUCUUGCAAUUGAAGUAGUUGUCGAACUCCCGGAUGGAAUUCACAAUCCCGAGGAAAAGCUUUCGGCUCAUCCGAUAACGACGCCGAAAUGUUUUCUCGCCGUGCAAUGGAGCGUCGGCGAAGUAGUCAGAAUAGAGCAUGCAGUAGCCUUCCAGACGAUGUCGGUUCUUUUCUUUCACCCGCCCCGGCGCCGAGCCACCUCGCCACGGCUUUUCACUGCUCGCGAGCAGGCCGGCGAGGGCGGCAAGCACCAUGAGAUGCUCCUACUCCUGGACGUCGGCAUCGGCUUCCUCCUCUAGCAACGCCGCGAGCACCUCCUCGUCGUCCGAGUCCAUCGUUGGGCAGACAAAUCACCGAACACCUUGCGGGCGAGGUGGGCGCAAACCCGCCGGUGUACAGCCCAACACUGAAUAGUACAUUAUAUCAUCUUACUUAUUGCAACGCUCUGCUUGUUAUGAACUUAAUACUUCAGAAUGCAUACUAGAUAGCAGUCUUGGGGUGGGAAUGUAUCCGGUGCACCCGCGCUUGUGGUGCUACCGGUGCACCAGAUGUCAUAGAAUAUUUUAAAAAAUCUGGAAAAAAAAUCUAGCACGUUAACGCAACAUCAAUGUAUGAUGUCACAAAUUUUCGUGUAAAAAAUCGAAAUGGUUUUUGAGAUAAAAAAUGACAAGUUUGACAUCAGUGUGUUAAUGGGCCAAAUCUAAACCUCAAGUUAUGUUAUGUACUAUUCAGUGUCGAAUUUGUCAUUUUUGUUUUCCGAGUUAUGUUUCGAAUUUUGAUUUCAAAUUUUGUGACAACCUACAAUAAUGUUGUGUGAGUGUGCUAAUUCUUUUUUUAGAUUUUUUUGAACAUUUUAAAAACACAAUGCAACUUCGGUGCACCGGUAGCAACCCAAGCUCCGGCGCACCAGAUAUUUUCCCGUCUUGGGGUGGAGUAAGUUGUAGAUGCAGUUAGAUAACGACCUAUAUAUCACGAACGUAAUGCAUAUAUGAGAUUAUAUUGUUAAUGAUCAUAGUCACAAAUAUAAAUAUUGCAAUUUUUUCACCACACUACACUUGUAUGCUUGGAAAGAUGUCACCAGUGAACCUAUGACCCCGGGCUAUCCUUUUAUAACGAAAACUUUACUAAAAAUAUGUUUUCUUUGUUGUAUCAUUUCUUUUGUUUUAUCUAUCUAUCCAUUCAUACCUAAGAGCAUCUCCA
rnacentral:lncRNA from 1 species